CGUCCAACCCAGACAACAAGCUCUUCUCAAAGGUGCUCAAUAAGGGUGAUGUGUUUGUGUUCCCUAAGGGGCUCAUUCACUUUCAGUUCAACCUUGACCCCCAUAAGCCCGCAAUCGCUACCUCAGCAAUUAGUAGCCAAAAUCCUGGGAUUAUUACUAUUGCAAAUGCAGUGUUCAGAUCAAACCCACCGAUCUCGGAUGAUAUUUUGGCCAAGGCAUUUCAGGUGGAUAAGAAGAUUAUAGAUUUGCUCCAAGCUUAGUUCUAGAGAGCAAUUGAUAAUUGUCCUAUUCUUUGCAACACUAUGGGACAAUUACAUGCAUGGACCUGAUGAUCUGUGCCAUAUAUAGUACAUAGAAUGAAUAGGCUUUCGUGCUGAUUGAUGUCAUUAUAUUUGUUAAAUUUUUUAUCCUAAUUAAUUAAUAAUACAUGGAAUACAUUGGACUAUGGUGUCCUUUUUCCUCGUUACUUUAAAGGAAAUUCCAUCGAAGUUCAUGAAAAAGAAGAAUAUGCGAUUGUCCAUAUGCAAGGUAUUCAAUUAUGUACUCAGGUCUGAAGGAACAUAUAGUCCCCUAGUGAGUUUUGGUUGAUAGAUGACAAGAAAAAUUAGGGGAUUAAUGUGCAAAUUGAAGAACGAUGCAGGAAUUAGCCUCCAUGGUGUUCAAAACGAUGAAAGACACCCGUCUAAAUCAAGCAAGCAUAAAAAAAACUAGAAGAAAAUUUAUACUUGCUUGCUGGGUUAUAGGAAUGUCGUUGUACUAUUAAGAAAGGUACGUGUCAAAGGCUCUAGUUGGUGGACCAAUGCUCAAUACUUUGUUUUGUUUUCUUAGUGAGAGGCACUUUGCAGUUCAAUCACUUGGAUUUGGGGGCUUAGUUGCUUACCGGACAUUUCGGUCAUCCUCCACUGUCUGCCAGACAAACUAGACCAAAGACUCCGGUAGUUGAGAUCAAAGGUUCUGAUAGUUUUUGUCUGGUUGUUAUAACAGGUGGAGAGGAUACUCUAGUCUUUGAGACAAGAUUCUAUAGUUUUUGAAUAUGUGAGUGACGACUAGUUAUUUUUUGGGUGUGUGCGAGUAUUUAACUCACCCAUCCCCCUCUUCUGGUUGGUGGCUGUCACAUAUUUUAGACCUAUGCUCAUAGGGUUUGUCCACCUUCUCUUGGGGUUUAAGCCAUUCUUCUUGAGAGAGAGAGAGAGAGAGAGAGAGAGAGAAGGGUUUGGAUCUUGUGAGGCAAGGUUAUGUUGAGCACUUGUGGAUCGACGACUAGCCUUCUACAUCAUGCUUGUUACUCUGGUUGGUUUUCCUUCUAGCUAGCUAGGUAUUGCAUGUGAGUAUUCAAUCUUUGUGGGUAGCAUGGGAAGGUUUGUGAAUGUUCAUCCUCUCCUCCGCAAGGAAAGACGCAUUGAAGUGGAAAACCAAGUUGGUUGCUAAAGUUGCUUGGUAGGGCAAAUGUCACGGAAUCUGUUGUCCAAAGUUGGGAUCGUUGUGGUCACUUGGAAACAAGGAGAACCAAGGUGGUUCCUUAGAGGCUAAAACUUUUUCCUAGUUACGUGCUUAGUAAGGGUUGGGAUCGAAAAAGAUAUGGAUCCUUGAAGUUCCUCAAUGGAGAUUAGGAUCGCAAGAUCUAAACUUUGGGAAAAGAAUCGUGUCCCUGUUUCUGCUGUGCCUUCUCUAUGUAUUUCGCUUCCUAUGUUUCGUGCUAGUUCCCUUAAUUUCGCUGCUCGAACUACUCUUCCAUGCUUCCUACUCGCAGGAAGAAAAUAGGGACCAGAGUACCUAGUGUUAAGUGUUGGUAGGCCAACUCUACACGUGCAGAACUCACAGACCGUAGUCUCUGGUAAUUAGGACAGGACACUUUGGUGACAAUAUUUGAUAUAGUUCACUAAGCAAAUUUUAUGAAUGCACAUUCACCCCCCCAUGUGCGACAUCAAGGUCCUUUUAGGGUGUACAUAUAUGUACAUGACGCUUAGGGGAUGAAAAAUGACAUGUAUUUCCCGCUCCACUACCCGACCCAAAGGUUUGUGGGAAAAAUGAGGGAGAGAAAAAUGGAUACCUGGUACUAUACACGUCUGAUUCCGAAUCUGCUAAAAAAAUAUAGGGUAGGAUAUAGGAAUAGUUGUAUAUAUCCAACAAUAUGUCCCGUGUUAUCAAACAUGUAACAAAAUCUAUUAGGAGUCUAAUUAUAAGCAUGAUAAAAGUUUGGUCAAUUACUAUUUUAUAAGCUCACAAAUUAUAUUGCACAUUUGUUUCUUGAUAUAUAUAUAUAUAUAUAUAUAUAUAUAUAUAUAUAUAUAUAUAUAUAUAUAUCAUUGCAUAGUCAGGGAUGUACAUGUAUAUAUUAACAAGGUUGCACAAUGCGCUAGGGCUAGACCUACCGUUUCACUUAAUGCCAGGUAUUUUAUAAUCCGUUGGAGACGGUUAUCACCAUAUGGCCCUCUACUCAACAUUCCACAACAGUGAGCAUUGCUCUGCCUAACAACAAAAAAUGGUGUCCUGAUGCACUGAUUUGAUUUCUUGUUAGGGAAAGAUGAUACUAUACAUGAUUAGUUGCUCCAACUCUUUCCACCUACUUUUGAUUGUUAAGAGAAGCAAUUAAAACUAACAUUGUAUUAAAAUUAAUGUUGUUAACAUUCAUUUGUUUUGUUAUAAAUAUCACAGUUAAUGUAUGCACAUCUACUAUUUUUUAUCAAAUAUAUGUUCCAGCUGAUCAUGAUGAAGACGCGAACAACGUUGCAUGUGGACUAGCUCCCACACUGUUGCAUGUACUUCCUAUAUCCAUCCAUUUGAACUGAUGUCGUGCUUGGCUAAGAACAAAACAUAAGCUAUAUAUUUUACUAGCCAUAGUUUUAAUUGAUUAGUGCCUUGGGGGCACAAGGUAAAGAAGCGCAACUUAACCGGUAGCAUCGGUUGGCUUAAUUUGGAAGAUUAAUAUCGGCGCAUUUUAUGUCAUUUCCAUCCUUACAAAUAAAUCCAUUAAUGGCACUGACUGCAUCACAGUCUCACUGAUACAUGCACAGAUCAUUAAGUCAGAAAUUUAUAUCAUCCCAAAAUAAUGUAGCACAUACUCCCUCCGUAAAAAAUUAAAGCACACUUUUCGGGGUAAACCAGACAAGAACUUAUUCAGAUUCAUCCUAAGAGUUGAUUUUUUUUCACGGAGGAUGUAUAUAUAUAAGCUACACGUACUCUACCGUGAGAAUAAUAUAUAAAUGUUUUAGAUCACUAAUUAGAUAAUCUCUGAAGUUUUAUGUUGAUGGAAAAUAACAAGGGUUAGAAUACGUGUCACUUAAAACUAUACUACUUGUCAAGAUGAUGAAUAAGUCCUGGAGAGGUCGGCUAGAGUCAUAUAUAUAUAGCUCAUAUAAGCGAGAUAGAUAUGCUUGAUUGCCUGCCUGCAGAGAGAAUAGAUCAAAUUAACACAGCUAGUAGAAUGAAGAGCUAGGAGGCAGCCGAUCGAUUGAGUGAGCUUUUGAACUGAAUUAAUCAAACUACGUACCAUUAGGUUGAAACUGUCGCAGGCAGCUGCAGGCAACAGAUCAGCGUGUUGAUUCAGCAAUUAACGGAUACAUAUGUUGCUAUCAACUUUCCUUUAAUUUUAAUUGAGGUAAAAAUAUAUUCCCUUUUAAUUAAUUAGCAUGUGUCAUGCCCUUGACUAGUCAGGCAUCUUGCCGUCACACACACAUCGAUGCCUGAACUAAAAGAGACGUGUAUGGAUCAAAGAUACGAAAGGGACUUAAAAAGUGUACGUUACAGGAACAGACACUGUCAAAAUUAAGGAUAUGAUAUUACCUUUUAACGUGUUUGUGGCCUGUCAAUCUACUCGGUUCUAAUACUAUCUUUAUCACUUUUAUCUAAACCUGAUGACUCAGCCAGCCAAACAUCAAUAUCAUGAAUAUCAUGGACGUUACUACACAGCUAGUGGUAGCUGUCACUCCAUCUAAGAGAGAUACUAUCCAUUUAUACUUUAAAUGUAAUUUUCUCUUAAACUACUCAUCUGAUUUAUGAUCCGAUUGCACCGUUGUGUUCGUAACAAUUAAAUCUUUAUAACAAGAUCUUACAUGAUUAUAUUUUGAUGAAAAAUUAUAAAUUACUUUUAUCAUAUAUCUAAAUUACUUUUAGAUUUCACUAGAUUACUUCUUAGAAAAAUAAAAGUAAAUUCAAUAAAGCCUAAAAGUAAUUUACAUAUAUUAUAUAAGUAACUUAUAAUAAAAAGAAAGUAACUUUAAUGAAUGCCUUUUUUCAUUGGACGUGAAGUCAUAUUUUUAUCCCUACAACAAAUUUACUUCUAAUGUCGUAACAAAGUUACUUCCGUUUUGUUUUAAGUUACUUUUAUAAUAUAUGUACAUUAUUUUUAGACUUUAUUGAAUUUACUUUUAUACUCCCUCCGUUUUUUAAUAGAUGACGCCAUUGAUUUUUUCUCACAUAUUUGACCAUUCGUCUUAUUCUAUAAAUUUACGUAAUAUCAUGCAUGCAAACGAUAGGCACUACCAUAAUGUAAUUACUUAGUUGGCCAUAUAGUUGGCCAUUCGGGCGGCCCGGCCCAGGCACGGCCGGGCUCGGGCCAAAAACUGUCGGGCCGGCACGGCCCGACCAACACACCGGGCCGUGCCGUGCCGGCCCAUGGGCUGCACCACCGGCCCAGGCAUGGCCCACCAGCAGUCGGGCCGGCCCGAAGGCAUGGGUGGCCCAUCGUGCCUUUUGAAAAAUAAGUCUAUUUUUCCUCCCUCCUCUUUGGGUUGUGGCAUAUAUAUAUAUAUAUAUAUAUAUAUAUAUAAAAUAAGUCUAUUUUCCCUCCCUCCUCAUUGGGCUGAUAUAUAUAUAGCUAAAAUAAGUCUAAUUUACGUCCCUAUUCUUUAAACUGUGACAUAUAAUGUCUAUUUUUGCUCCCUAUCAUUUUUUUUGUUGGGCCUGGCCGGCCGGCCCAUUAUACCGUGCCGGUGGAGGGGCCCAGGCACGGCUCGGCGACCGGGCCGGGCUGGCACAGGCCCGACCCCUAUCGGCCCAGGCCGUGCUUGGGCCGGGCCAAAUUACCGUGCUGUGGGCCGGGCCAUCGGGCCUCGGGCCUUUUGGCCAUCUAUAUUUGGCCACCCUGCUGCAGGAAGAUUAACUUGAAUCCAUCCACUGAAUCCACCUGCACCAGUUCAGAGGAACGAACCAGUCCUAGCUCAGCUUGUUAUAUUUGACCUGUGGAUUGUAACGGUACCAAGGUAGUCCACGGAAGGCCUUUGGGCUGUGCAGCAUAGGGUGGGCUAAGAGCCCUAGACCCAUGCGGCUAUCUUGUAAAUAAAGAAAGAGAGAUUCUCGGGAUAAGAUAUAAAUCUCGGGAUCAUGCAUAUCUUAUAUAUAUAUAUAUAUAUAUAUAUAUAUAGAGAGAGAGAGAGAGAGAGAGAGAGACAUAUAUAGUUGCAAUCAACUAGAUACUUUCCUUGUAACCCUCCCAAGAGGGGGUAGGGGUCCCGAAUGGGAGGAUGACCACAACCAGCGCCACGCUCCAUAGACACUUGCUCAUACUCAUCGGACACUGAUCCAAUCCACAUACAGCUGGACUAGGGUAUUACCUCGCAUUGAGGGCCUAAACCAGUAUAAACAUCUGUGUCAUCAUCUCUCCUUGAUCUAGUGCACCCUAUAAAUUUUAUUGCCGAUAUUAGAAAUCAACAUGACCACUUCAGAAUCAUCUCAUAUAUAUGGUUGCAUAUCCCUUCCAUGGACAAAUUAAGCAUCAGAUAUAGCUUCAUAUACUCAACAAGCAUCGACCACUACUACGUCUGCAGAACUGUAAUAAUUGGUCGUAGCUCUUGAGCAAAGGCCAGAAUGUUUCAUUCCAUUAUCUAAAAAAAAGUGUCUAUAGAACUGUAGAUCAGUAGCAAAAAUUGCAUCAACUUAAGAUGGACUCCUCCAAAUUCAUUCUUCUCACAACUCUUACCGCUUUUUGUUGGAAAUAGUAAUAAUUCAGCAUAUUUUAAUCUAGAAAUAUAGUAUAAUAAACAUGAUAUAUGGAAUAAAGAAUGAUUCUUGCAUGGUGAUAAACAUGAAUAUGCUAACAGCAACGAUAGCAUCUAAAAACAUGUUUAACAUCGAGAUGAGAAGAACAUAGCCGGAGAACGCUCCAGAUCCAGAUGAGACAUUGUUGUUUUUGUUGUUGUUGUUGCUGCCACUGUUGCCAUUGCCGUUCUCUCCUCUGUUGCCACCGUUCCCUCCUCUUCCGUUGCCAGUAGUGGUCGACGUUACCAUAGAGAAACUACUAGAAAAAUGGGUUUUUGCUGGCAGCCAGAGAAGCCGAUUGCGACCGAAGGCCACUGGAAAUAAUUCAUUUUCACUGGCGGUCUGCUGGCCUCCAGCGAAAAUCAAGUUUUGCAAGCAGGCAUGCUAAGACAACCACUAGCAAACAUACCAUUUUUGCCAGCGGCAAGCUAUGGAGGACCGCCAGAGAUAUCCACUUGUAGUAGGGUUUCAGCCAUGUGGCCUGGUCGGGGUACAGUUUGCGAUCAGGAAGGAUCUUGGUGUACAGCAACCUGCCGAAGCCCACGCUGCGGUUGCCAGGUGGUAGAGGGGAGGGGAUUGGAGGCGCGGUGCCCGGCCGUCAUCGUCGCGGUAACCAUCAUUGUCGUCGUGGCAGACGCCGCCAGAUCCACCUCCUUCACCACCGUGGAGGAUCCAUCGUCGCGGCGGCCAGAUCCGACCCUGAGCUCGCGGCGACUAGCAGCGAAGAGGAGAAGACCGCACGCAGCCAUAGAGGAGAGGAGGAGGCCGCGCCCCGCUGCCGCAGAGAGGAGGAGACCGUGCGUCGCCGGUGGGAGGCCGGGGAAGAAGGAGAGGAAGCGUGGGGCAGACAUGAGGAGAACAGCCGACGCUGUCGGAACCGGGCCACCGUGACCGAGCCGAGGUCGAGGUUGCUGCUGCCGUCACUGAGCCGCAACCCUAGCCGCCAGAUCCGCGCCUCUCCGACCUACCGCCGCCUUAUCCGUGCCCCUCCAACCUGCCGCCACCGGAUCUGCGCCCCCUCCCCUCCGGCCUGAUUUGGGAGAGGGAGGAGAGGGCUAGGUCGCCGUCGCCGCUCCCUGGAGCACGGUCGCCCAGUCGUCGAGGCCGCGUGUGUUGGACUGCGCCGCCGCAUCCACUGCACUGCCGCGAGCUCGGCCACGCGCUGCUGCUUGCCACUGAGAUACGGGGAGCCGAGAAAAAAAGAUAAAGUUAAAAUUUCACUUCAGCACGCACUCCCACGAUUUUUGCUGGCGAAAGUUAAAGAGGAAGAUAAGGAGCUGAGAUCAUUUUUUGUGCUGGUAGUGGUUUAGGUGGGCCGCCAGCGAAAAUAUCGCUGGCGGCGACUUAGAUGGGUCGCUAGCGAAAAGGGUGCAUCUUCGCUAGCGGUCCUCUUAACCUGGACGCCAGCGAAGAUCCAUUUUCGCUGGCGGUCCUUAGCACCUCACCCCUCGUUAUAUUUUCUCUGACGGUGAUCAUGUAUGGCCGCUAGAGAAAAAAAUAGGUUGACGCCAUGAAAUUGAUUUUGUAGUAGUGAGAAAGAAGAGUUUGACCUAGAUGAAGCAGUUCUGAGAGCAGUCACGCAAAGAACACGCUCUCUAAAAACUUGAUCGCCCGUCUAUCCAAGUAGUCAGAUGGACGGAUUUCCGGAAGCCUGCUCGUUACAAACACUCGUGCGCGCAGGUAAUCUAUUCCGAGGAGUAUCGGGGCUGUGACAGGAACAAAUGGAAGAGAAAGGUGUGCCGAGGAAGAACCAGGGGGAACGAAGCACACAAUGCAAACACCACGGCGCAUACCAAUGAACUCCUGCACACACCACUGGUGGAGAAACCUUCUUUCGUCGGUCGGCCGAUUUCCACAAUAGUCCCGGAUGCAAUAAAAACCGGGGCUAAAGAUGAUCUUUAGUCCCGGUUCAAAAGGGUAACGGGCAUAUUUGAUCUUUAGUCCCGGUUUGUGUUACCAACCGGGACUAAAGAUCAUCUUUAGUCCCGGUUCGAAUACUGUCAGGGCCUGUCAGGCCCCCCCGGGAUCUUUAGUCCCGGUUGGUAACACCAACCGGGACUAAAGAUCGUAACUUUAGUACCAACCGGGACUAAAGAUCCCGGUGAUCUUUAGCCCCGGUUGGUGCUACCAACCGGGACUAAAGUCCCACCCCUAUAUAUAUGUCUUAUUCCUCCUCCAGCUGCCCGAGCAAGCUUCAAAAUUUCUUCAAAAAAGAGGGGAGGUCAUGCCAAAAUUUCUAUUGAAUUUAUUUUGGUGAUUACAUACAAAUCGGAGGUGCCUAAAAGGUUUGCAACUUCAUCCUCCAAUGUUUUUUUUUGUCAUACUACAUUUGCACCUAUGUUUUGCACACUUUUUUUGUCUCCAAAAUUUAGUUGUAAGUUGAUGAGAGAGAAAAUGUGUGUGGGGAAGAAAGAAUAUAUAGAAAUUUAGUUCAUUUGCUAAACAAGGUUUUAUAAAAUAGUUGAGAAGGAAAACUCUAGUGAAAGUUAAUCUUAAAUAAUAGAAAACAAACUAAAAUGAAAAUUAAAAGAAGUAAAACACAUUAAAAUUAGUUUAAAACUUUACAAAUAGUUUUUAAGAAUUAUUUGGUGUAAUAUUUUAUGAUUUUUGUAUGAAUAAAGAUAUCUUAUAAUUAUUGUAUGACUGUCAUUAUUGUAAGAAUAAUUAUUUGUGUACGGUUUUUUUGACUCAUGUAGAUGGAUCAGCAAUGGAUGUACGCUGACCGGCGGUCCAAAGAGUUUAUUGACGGCGUGCACUAUUUUUUGAGAGUGGCCGAAGCUAACAGGCAAAGGGGUUUUAUUUGUUGUCCAUGCAAUAAGUGUAAGAAUCAGAAGGAGUAUUCUGCAUCCAGGACUAUUCAUUUCCACUUGUUUGAGUCGGGGUUCAUGCCAAGCUAUAAUUGUUGGACAUCCCACGGAGAGCAAGGUGUUGAAAUGGAAGAAGAUGAAGUGGAAGACGACAAUAUUCCGGACUUUGCUCAGUAUGUUGGAUUUGAAGGAAAUCAAACGGGCGAGGAGGAAAUAGCUGCUGAUGGUAACGACGUUGCGGAUGAUCUUGGUCAGAUGUUGCAGGACGCCAGGGAGGAUUGCGAAAGUGAAAAGGAGGCCCAUAAAUUGGACAAGAUGUUGGAGGACCAUAGAACUUCGUUGUACCCAGGUUGCGAGCAAGGGCACAAAAAGUUGGAUACCACUCUGGAGUUGUUGCAAUGGAAGGCAAAAAAUGGGGUUAGUGACAAGGCAUUUGGCGAUUUAUUGAAACUCAUCAAGAACAUUCUUCCGGGGGGAAACAAAUUGCCCGAGACAACGUACGAGGCUAAGAAGAUAGUCUGCCCGUUAGGACUGGAAGUUCAUAAGAUUCACGCAUGUCCGAACGACUGUAUCCUAUAUCGCGGUGAGGAGUAUGAGAACCUAGAAGCAUGCCCUGUUUGCAAAGCACUACGAUACAAGAUUAGACGGGACGAUCCAGGAGAAGUUGACGGGCAGCUAACAAAGAAGAGAAUUCCUGCUAAGGUGAUGUAGUAUUUCCCUAUAAUACCAUGGCUAAGGCGUUUGUUCAGGAAUAAGGGGAAUGCUAGAAUGUUGCGAUGGCACGCUGAAGAGCGUCAACAGGACGGGAUGCUGAGACACCCCGCCGAUGGUUCGCAGUGGCGAAACAUCGACAGAAAAUUUAAAGAAUUUGGAAAGGACGCACGAAACAUACGGUUUGGUUUGAGUACGGAUGGCAUGAAUCCUUUUGGAGAGAUGAGCAGCGGCCAUAGCACUUGGCCCGUUACGAUGUGUAUCUACAACCUCCCCCCCUGGCUAUGCAUGAAGAGGAAGUACAUAAUGAUGCCGAUUAUUAUUCAAGGCCCCAAGCAACCUGGUAACGACAUCGACGUGUACCUAAGACCACUGGUCGAAGAUCUUAAACAGUUGUGGAAGAAGGAAGGUGUCCCCGUGUGGGACGAGGACAAACAGGAGGAGUUUAACCUACGAGCGCUGCUGUUCGUAACCAUCAACGAUUGGCCUGCACUUAGCAACCUAUCCGGACAGUCCAACAAGGGGUACAAGGCUUGCACUCACUGUAUGGAUGAAACAGAAAGUACGUAUCUUAAGCACUGUAGGAAGGUUGUAUACAUGGGUCAUUGUCGAUUCCUUGCAGCAAACCACCCGGUACGGAAGAAAGGCAAGCACUUCGAACAUAAGGCCGACCACCGUACGAAGCCUAAACAUCGCAGCGGGAAAACAGCGUUUGCUAUGGUUAAAGAUCUUAAAGUAGUGUUCGGAAAGGGGCCUGGAAGCCAGCAUAUAGAGAGCGAAGAUGGUCACGCGGCGAUGUGGAAAAAGAACUCUAUAUUUUGGGAGUUACCAUAUUGGGAAUUCUUGGACGUACGCCACGCAAUCGACGUGAUGCACCUCACUAAGAACCUUUGCGUAAACCUUCUUGGCUUCCUAGGUGUAUACGAAAAGUCGAAAGAUACACUGGAAGCACGUAAUGAUCUGAAGCAUAUGGAACAACGCGGCGACCUUCACCCGGAACCAAAGGAGAAAGGAAGCCAUUACUUGAGUCCAGCCAGCUACACUCUUAGCAAGGCAGAGAAGGAAAGUAUGUUUGAAUGCUUGGAGAGCAUAAAGGUACCGUCUGGAUACUCCACGAAUAUCAAGCGAAUAAUAAGCACGAAGGAGAAGAAGUUCACAAACCUAAAGUCUCAUGACUGUCACGUGUUGAUGACACAACUGCUACCAGUUGUAAUAAGGGGUAUCCUUCCAGACAAUGUCCGGGCAACAAUAACAAAGCUAUGUGCAUUCAUGAACGCAAUUUCGCAGAAGGUCAUCGAUCCGAAUAGAUUAGAAGCCCUUCAGAAUGAAGUGGUGCAAUGUCUCGUCAGUUUUGAGUUGAUAUUUCCACCUUCAUUUUUCAAUAUAAUGACGCAUCUGCUUUGUCACCUUGUGAAAGAGAUCCGUAUUCUCGGGCCUAUGUACCUACACAACAUGUUUCCUUUCGAGAGGUACAUGGGCGUUCUGAAGAAGUAUGUUCGUAACCGUGCUCGUCCAGAGGCAAGCAUCGCCAAGGGUUAUGGAACAGAGGAGGUCAUCGAAUUUUGCGUAGAAUUUAUCGAAGACCUUCGCCCAAUCGGGGUACCUGAAUCACGCCAUGAAGGGAGACUACGGGGAAAGGGAACUCUCGGAAGGAAAGCAAUAACGACGGUAGACAACAAUUUAUUCCGUAAAGCCCAUUUCACUGUUCUGCAACACUCUUCAUUGGUAGCUCCUUACAUCGAGGAGCACUUGGCUCUAGUUCGCGCCAGGAACAUCGGUAAGUCCGAUGCAUGGAUUACACGGCAUCACAUUGAUACUUUCCCCGCGUGGCUACGACAACAUCUCAUGGGUAACGAGUCGAUCAACCAACAACUUGCCUUCCUGGCGAGGGGACCGUCUGGGUCGAUCGCGACAUUCCAGGGAUAUGAGAUCAAUGGGUACACAUUCUACACGAGAGCCCAAGACAUGAAGAGCACGAACCAAAACAGCGCUGUUCGUGUCGAUGCCAUGGGACAUGAUGGAACAACUGCCACGUAUUACGGUGCCAUCGAGGACAUAUGGGAACUUGACUAUGGUCCUCUCAAGGUUCCUCUGUUCCGGUGCCAAUGGGUUAGGUUGACUGGUGGAGGCGUAAUGAUUGAUGACAGUGGGAUGACAACUGUUGACCUUAACAAGGUUGGAUACUCGGACGAACCUUUUGUCCUUGCCAAUGAUGUAACGCAAGUCUUUUUGGUGAAGGACAUGUCUAGCAAAGGAAAGAAGGGCAGAGGGCCUGAUGAGCCUAAGCGUCAAGUGGUUCUCCCAGGCAAAAGAAAAAUCGUCGGAGUUGAGGACAAGACUGACGAGGAUUACGAUCAGUUCGAUGGGCAACCCCCUUUCACGGUGACGAUUGACUCUAGCAUCCUCCUAUCAAAUGAAGACACCCCUUACUCACGCAGCGAUCACAAGGAGGGAACAAUAGUGAGGAGAAAGUACGUGCCGUAAUUAUUGUGUACACGAUAUAAACUAUUUUGGAUGUAUUGAUUAUCCAUAUAAAUCAAUUGAUGUAUGGCAUAUGUUAAUUAUGCACGAUUAUUAGAGGUUUCAACAAGUUUAAAUCAUGUAUAUGCUAGUUAUAUGUGAUACUUACAAUUUUUAAAAGUUUUAAAUCACACAGGUGGCAAUUUCAUAUGUAUGUUAAUUAGAGUUUUUAACAUUUAAUUUACUAGCAUUCAUAUGCUAAUUAUAAUUGACUAGAGGAUUUUUAAAAGUUUUAAAUCACGCAAGUGGCAAUUUCAUAUGUUAAUUAGAGUUUUUAACAUUUAAUUUACUAUCAUUCAUAUGCUAAUUAUAAUUGACUGGAGAAUUUUUAAAAGUAUUAAAUUUAAUAUAUUUUUAAAACUAUCAUUCAUAUAUUAGAGUUUUUCACAAUUUAAUUUACUAUCUUUCAUAUGCUACUUAUAUAUGACUAUUCGAAUUUUUAAAAGGUUUAAAUCAUGCAUGUGGCAUUUACAUAUGUUAAUUAGAGUUUUUAGCAUUUAAUUUAAUAUAAUUCCUACGCUAAGUACAUAUGAUGAUUACAAUUUUUAUUAAUUUUAAAUCAUGCAGUAUGUACAUACAUAUCUUAAUUAGAGUUUUUACCAAUAUAAUAAUAUCAUUCAUAUAUAUGCUAAGUAUAUAUGAUUAUUGGAAUUUUUAUUAAUUAUAUUUGCUUAUUACGAUUUAUCCACUUAAUUUAUUACAGACAAAAAUAAUUUUUUGAAGUAAUUGUCAUUAAUCUUUGUACUUUAAAUAAUGUUAAUGCAUUAACUUCUAUUUUAUAAACACAUAUGUAAGCGAAAAUCAUAUGCAGUGCUAUAAUCUUUAGUCCCGGUUCUUAACCCUAACCGGGUUUAAAAAGAAUUUCGAAAUAGCGGGAAAAGAUAUUUACUCCCGGUUGUUGAGAACAACCGGGACUAAAGACUCAACAACCGGGAGUAAAGAUCUUUUCUUUACUCCCGGUUGUUCUCAACAACCGGGACUAAAGAUAUCUUUAGUCCCGGUUGUUCUCAACAACCGGGAGUAAAGAUCCGGGGGUAUAUAUAUUCCCGGUGCGCCCUCGUCUUCUUCACCAACACUUAGACGUUUUCGGCCGAUCGAUCUCUCUCGGCCUCUCUCCUUCGCCGCCACUGCCUAGGGCAAAUCCCCGCGCCGACGCCGCCGUAUCUCGCCGUCGUCUCGAGCUCGUCGUCCUCGCCGCCGCCUCCGCCUCCUCCGCUGCCGCCGCAUCUCUGGGGUGAGAGCCGCCGCCGCCAGAUCUCCCUUCAUGCAUCUCGAUCUCUCCGAUCUCGAUCUCUCUCCGUCGCGCCGCCCGCCACGAGACGCCGCGCCACGACGACGACGCGCCACGACGACGACGCGCCACGCCGCCGCCUUCGCCGCCGCGCAAUGCCGCCGCCGCAUGCCAACGCCACGCCGCCGCCGCCGUCGCCACGCCGCCGCCGCCUUCGCCGCCGCGCGCGCAAUGCCGCCGCCGCCACGCCACGCCGCCGCCGCCACGGCCCCGCAACGCCACGCCGCCGCCGCCGUCGCCACGCCGCCGCCGCCGCUGCCACGCCCCGCCGCCAUGGCCCCGCAACGCCACGCCGCCGCCGCCGUCGCCACGCCACCACCGCCGCCGCCACGCCGCCACGCCAACCGCCGCCCCGAUGCCGCCACACCGCCGUUAACGAACGAGAACGAGAACGAUCGAACGAACGAGAGCGAGAACGAACACGUCAACGUACGUUGCCGCGAGAACGUGAACGAGAACGAGAACGAUCGAUCGAACGAGAGCGAGAACGAACACGUCAACGUACGUUGCCGCGAGAACGUGAACGAGAACGACAACGAUCGAACGAACGAGAGCGAGAACGAACACGUCAACGUACGUUGCCGCGAGAACGUGAACGAGAACGAGAACGAUCGAACGAACGAGAGCGAGAACGAGAACGAUCGAACGAAGACAAGCGAGAAUGAGGGAACGAACGUGAAUGAGAACAAGCGAACGAACGUGAAUGAGAACGAGCGAACGAACGUGAACGAGCUAGGGAACGUGAACGAGCGAACGAACGAGGACGAACGUUAACGUGAAAUGCAAUAUAUAUAUAUAUAUAUAUAUAUAUAUAUAUAUAUAUAUAUAUGUUACUUCGCAUUUAUCCUAAUACAUCUUUUUGUAUCUUGCAGAAAAGACGUGUUGUCGGAGUCGUCCAUCAAGCCUGAGUGGAAGAGCUAGCCCUAGAAGGAAUUGGAGCAGGCAAGUGACGUAAUAAUAUAAAUGAUUGUUAUAUUUGUAAUGCAAUUAAUUAAGAUUAUUAGACCUGUAAUUAGACUUAUCAUAUAAGAUUGUGUAGUGUUCUAAUAUUAUUUGAGUUUUAAUAUAAGAUUAUUUUAUUGCAAAUUAGACUUAGUAUGACAUUAUUGACUACGGAAUUGGUGCGACUCCUAGCAAUUGACUAUUGUAGUCUUAAUUAGACUUAGCAUAUACGCACGAAACACUUAGCAUACAUGACUAUUUUAGUCUUAGCAUGUAAUAUUAUUUGAGUUUUAAUAUAAGAUUACUUUAUUUGUAAUUAGACUUAGUAUGUAAUUAUUGACUACGGAAUUGGUGCGACAAGUAGCAAUUGACUAUUGUAGUCUUAAUUAGACUUAGCAUAUACGCACGAAACACUUAGCAUAUACAUGACUAUUUUAGUCUUAGCAUGUAAUAUUAUUUGAGUUUUAAUAUAAGAUUAUUUUAUUUGUAAUUAGACUUAGUAUAUAAUUAUUUACUAGCUAGGGUUGUAUAAUAUACGUCACCUAGACUUAGCUUAUAUCACGAUUUGUAAUUAGACUUAGCACGUAAGGUUGUGUAGGGUUCUAAUGUAUGACAUUUACACUUAGCAUACAUGACUUAGAUUGUUAAAACAUAAAUGUCUCGUGACUUAGCAGAUGUUUCUUGUAUCAAUAGAUGGCUGACCGCGAUGAGGAACAGAUAUUGUACGAUACAAUCGCGGAGAGAAGCAGCCAGUACUGGAAUGAAGAAGAGGGGAACGAGGAUCCAAACCAGUACUUGAACGAGGAAGGGAACGUGGAGAGGGAUGCGGAGGGGAACCAGCAGGGGCACGUGGAAAGGGAUGUGGAGGGGAACCAGGAGGAGGAGGCUAGUGGUAGUCAACCCUCCGUUGGACAGAAGAGGGCACGCGGGCAACGAGGUGCAGCGAAGAAGCUUGAGGGUCGGCACAUCAUAACGGAAGUGGAAGAAAAUGGACAUCCUAGUGCCCCGGCCGAAGCCGCCAAGAACUAUGUACGUCACAGCGGUUGGGUUGUGCGGGAUAACGUGCCUGUCAGUACGGUGUACUGGCGAAGAACAAGGGCACGCGGAGAUCAUGAGAGCUUUGUCCCAGAUUCGGAGAAAGAGAUGCUGUGGACCACAAUGCUCGAGACAUUCACCCUUCCUGCGGGUACAGAGGACAAAGUGAAAAGGUGGACUCUGAAGAAAAUGGCAGAACAGUUUCAGAGGUUCAAGGGAGAUCUGUACCAGAAGUAUAUACUGAAGGGGCAGACACCGAACUUCGACAAAUUCCCAAAGCUAAGGGAUCACUGGGACGAGUUCAUUGCAUAUAAGACAGGUGAACAAGGGCAGGCGAUGAUGGAAAGAAACAAAGAAAAUGCCGCCAAGAAGAAGUACCAUCACCACUUGGGGUCAGGAGGCUAUAGCGUCGCGAUGCCGAAGUGGGAGCAGAUGGAGGCUAGCUUGAUUGAGAGGGGUAUCGAACCGGCAACAGCCAAUUGGCCGGAACGAUCGAAGUUCUGGUACUAUGCUCAUGGUGGAACGCUCAACCCAGCUGAUGGCUCACUGGUCUUCGGCGAUCAGAUACGAGAGGCUGCGCGACGACUAACAGAUGCAGUGGAAGCCUCCUCUCAGGGCACGUUCCAACCAGACAGAGAUAGGGACAAGCUGACACUCGCCCUGCAGACUCCAGAGCAUCCAGGACGAACACGAGGGAAAGGGGUGAUUCCUUGGAAGAUUGGUUUCAAGGAGGACAUCCACACAUACAGGAGUCGGAUGAGGAGCAAGAGAGAUACCGAGGCGAAGAUUGCAGACCUAGAGUUCCGGGUAUCGAGCUACGAACUCAACAUGCAAGAGGAGGUGGCAAGGAAGGUUGAUGAACGCAUGGCCGCACAUCGGUCCCAUGUUCCCCAGCCGACCAUUCCUCCUGCAAUGGUGAGCCCGUCAGGAAACCGUAGCAGCUGCGCCUCAACGGGGCAGGUAGGAUCACAGAGCAUGGACGCCAUGCAAACACAGGACGAAUCGACCUGUCCCGUUGAUGACAUCACUCAGCGGACACCAUGUGAGCUGCAUAUUCCUUUCAAGAACUUAUCAAUAAAGGUAAGAUUUAGCCAUUCCGCUAGUUGCUGCUUAUAUAUGUUGAUUACUAAUAAAUAAUCUCUCACAACAUGAAGGUGGCGUCGGGCAUGGCCAUCCCAACGGACCCUUCAGGUACUUACCACUGCAGGCCGAUUCCAGCAGGAUACUCGAAGGUCGAAGUUGAGUUGGUCGAAGGCGCGUACGAGGACCUCGAGCUGGAUUACCCUGGAGCAGACGGUGAGACGCAUCUACGAGACACAUGCCAUGCCAUUAUUCUAUGGCGCAGGCGGUACAUCAUCCUCCCUGGGCGACAAGCGGCGUCUCGUGCACCAUCUCCUCCGGCUCCGCCAUCUCCUCCUCAGGAUCCUGCACCGUCUCCUCCUCAUGCUCCGCCAGCACCGUCUCCACCUCAGGCUCCAGCAUCGACUCCUCCUCAGGAUCCUGCACCGACUCCUCCUCGUGCUCCUACACCUACUCCCCCGCAAGCUCCUCUUCCAGCACCUUCAAAGUCAAGGGCCCCCCCAGCUCCACCGCCUGCCCACACAAGGGCAACGAAGAAGGCGAAAGUUGACGCCGCCAAGAACAAGGACCCGGGGUACGAUUGCACGCAAGAGGAGCUUGACGCUUACGUUGCAUCAGAAGUCAAGAGACAAUUCAAGCCUCGAAGUCCAGAAAAGAAGAUUCCUAUAGACCCCAGUGUCAGGAACUUCUUCAGGGGUAUGUCUGCAUCUGUCAAGGAGGCCAUCAAGCUAUCGGACUAUGAGCGAACGCUGAAGAAAGCAUCUUCUGGAAAGUCCAAACCAGUCCCUCAGCUUGGAGAGCAACCAAACCAGGAGAUCGAGCCGUUGGUGACCGGUAAAGAAAUGACGAUAGAACAAUUUAUUACUGACACCGGUCUAACUACGGAUCAAUUGCUAGGAGUCGCACCAAUCGAAAAGGCGGAAGUGAAAUACAUGUACGAACUCGGUAAACCGCUUGUCAAGCCUGAGCUGCUGCAGUCCCUACCCACACAAAUGUACAAGUUCCAUCAGCUGUACAUGGAGAUGAGCGCCACCGGUAGAGAGAUGAUCGGAGCGAGGAUCAGGGACACGGACUUCUUGCAAGGAGAUGACAUUCUCUGGAUCAAUUUCAGGGGAAUCUACGAACUAUACCAGCUGGACGCCCUCGACGUCUCUAUUAUGAGUUGCUGGAUUUUGUAAGUAUAUCAUUCAGUUAGAUUUCUUACUAUACGUCUCCUUUAAUUAAUUAGGUCCUUGUAUAUAAGUAGACUAUAGAAAAUAAUAUACUCCCUUUUAUCGUUGUAGAAUGGAGAUUCAAAGGGCCCGACGGCGGAGGGUUUUCGAUACUGGAUUCAUCGACCCUCGGAAAGUAAACGUCGCAAUGCUCGACCAAUAUCCACAAGAAACAGAGGACAAUCUCGUCCAUCUCCUGAAGGCGCAGCAUUACAAGACGUUCAUACUGUUGCCAUACAACACAGAGUUAGUUUAAUUUUACUGUCUUCCUACAUACCAAAUUUCAUUCCCGUACGAACUUGCUAAGUGUUUCAUAUGUAAUGCAUCCCACGCACAUUGCAGAUUCCACUGGGUGCUUUUACUCUUCGACCUGGAGGCCUGCACCGUCAACGUAUAUGACUCAAUGGAUAAAAAAGAGUCUACGUUUGACAAGGUUUUCGAACUUAUAGACAGGUACCGUCAUAAGUUCCUUUGUUAAUUAAGAAAAUCUUGUUAUGUUAAUUGCUACUACGAAUCAUAGCUUUAAACUCCAUGUAGGGCUUGGUAUCGGUUCCGUCAUUUGGUCCGCGGCAAAUGGAGAGAAAGACUUAGGCGGAAGUUCAAAUUUCCUGUGAGUACACAUGCUCUACAUUUAUAUUUCUCCGAUUCAAAUACAUACAAGUGUAUAUUAAUUAGAUCUCUCGUUGUUUGUCAUUUAUUUGUAGUGCGUAAAGCAAAAGCAGGGAACUAACUUGUGCGGCUAUUACGUGUGCGAGUAUUGCCACUGCCUUGCAGACCAAAUCAUCACCACAAGAGAGCUCGAUGUACGUACAAAUAAAUUCAAAAUUUCAUUACGUAGCGAUUUCUUGUUUAAUUACUAAUCAAUUUCAUACAUUCAUAUAGUUUAUUCGCAUGAGGGAUAACCUGACCACACACAAGGAAUUUAUCGCGGCGGUUCAAGAACAACUCAUGGGAUUCAUCAACGAAGAAAUCCUUGAUCCCAAGGGUGAAUUCUACUACGACGGAAACACAAUUCACCGGUCCUUAGCUUCUGAGCUAGCAGCGAGUACUACUACGUUGAAAUCGUAGCUAGCUAGGACAUAUAAUGGAUUGUAAUUAAUACAUGACUACAUAUGUUUCUAUAUGCAUGUGUACACAUUUUCUAUAAUGUAAAUAUAUUUUGGUCAUAUAUAUAUCUAUAUACAUAUGCAUUUGCAUAACAUAUAUAUGUAUAAAUACAUAUAUAUUAUGCAUGUAUAUACAUAUAAUAUAAUAUAAUAUAUAUAUAUAUACAUAUAUAUAUAUAUAUAUAUAUAUGUAUGCAUAUAUAUGUAUUGAAACAUAUAUAUGCAUGGUUUAUAUAUAUAUAUAUAUAUAUAUAUAUAUAUAUAUAUAUAUAUAUAUAUAUAUAUAUAUAUAUAUAUAUAUAUAUAUAUAAACCAUGCAGCAACAGGGCCAUGCAAAAAAAAAAAGGUCAGAUCUAUCUUUAGUCCCGGUUGGUGUUACUCCCGGUUAUUUCACCCGGGACUAAAGAUAGCGAUCUUUAGUCCCGGAUUGGUACUCCCGGUUUGGAAACCGGGACUAAAGGGGGGUUACGAACCGGGACUACAAAGGGUUUCUCCAUCAGUGCACACUCUAAAGAAAAUCUAGCACCAACCCAGGUUAGCCGCUAUACAUGACCGGACGUCACCAACCCUAUGGAAGGAUAUGAUGCUGUUAGGUACAUGGAUUAGUUGCUGUCUAGAUUACGUGCAGGUAAUUAACACAUCCAGGAGAAAACACUGGACAGUGCGUACGUACUUAAUUAGUGAUCAACCAAAAAUAUGCAUGAUAUUGCAAUCCAGCUAAUUACGUUAGGUGCACAUAAGCCAGAUGUAGUAUAAGCUAAGCCAGCCGUUUCCAUACGACAUAUGCAUAAGGAUGCAAUUAUCCUGAUGCACGCUUGAUUUAAUUUGAUGGGAUGCGUACAUAUUUUGAUUCCUUGUCCUAAAGUAUGCAAAAAUCCCUGUCCAUCAGGUGUGUUGUCUACACACGGCUAUGUCUCAUUGUGUUAUAUAUGUUGACUUGAACUUUUUCGCAAAAUGGAUUUCAUUAAUUGGUUCCUUUUCAAAGUGACUUUAGUAUAUUAUAGGAAACGGUGAAGAUGACCUCUAUACCACCUAAUUUAAUCGACCUUGUGUUGUUAGGUGGCACAUCAAAUAUCAUUAUCUAUAUCUCUACCUAUACCUUAUAUAAGUAACCCAGGGGAAAAAAAUCGAACCCAUGAAUUGUGAGAUCACAAUUCAGAGAUUAAAACAAGGUAUGCCAAAUAUGAGUAUAUAGUAUACCAUAUAAAAUAACUCAAAUUCGAAUUAAGAAUAAACAUGAAAAAUAGCAAUUGGCUUUGAAGAUUAAUUACGUACUCUGCUGAAAAAAAAACCAAAAGAAUCUGGAAAGAACAUAAGUGUGAAAUUUCAGUAUCUUCUCAACAGUACAGAAGAAUUAUUUAUAUUAAAAAUUGCAUCAUUUUUUUGGAAAAGGGAUAUAUAUAUAUACACACACACACAAACACACACACACACACACACACACACAUUCAGACAGAACAUAACCAUAUAGCCAUGCACCCGACCGAUGCUAACGGCUCACACUCGCCAAAGUAUGGCUAGCUAAAUUUUGAUCCCAUGAAUUUUCUAUACUCUAGCAGGCCUAUCUUCAGCCAACAUCUUUUUAAUUUCUUCCCUAACCAGAAAUUGGUCAUCUAAGGAGUCAAUUUUUAUUUUCUCUAAGUUCAAACAAACUUAUUUUUUUUGGGGCGAAUGUACAUCUAACAGGACCCACAGGUAGACGUGAUUUUUUCUAAAAAAAGAUGUUAUAAAAUUGCACCUUGUAUCAAAAUACUUUGACAUAUAUACAUUCCAAAGGGAGAAUAUGUUGCUAGACACUUGUAAUAAUUGAUUGGUUCAGAAAUUAAUCACUAAUUGUCCGUAAAGGGUUUAAUUAAUCGUUAGUGGUUACAGUUGGAUGAUAUAUGCCAAAAUGAACGGUGAAUUUCGAAUCUUUCUUGCAUCUGGUGGCUAUUAAUUACUUUAGGAGUAAAUUUAAAAAACUAUAUGUAUGUUAAUAUCAAACUAUCACAAACUACUUAUUUGAGACAUUGUAUUAUAAACUAUAGAUUUCGCACCAAAAAUAUCACAAAACUACAUAUUUAAAGCCCAAACUCAAAAAACUAUGGUUUUGUUAUAUAAACGUUAUAUGUAAAUAUGUCAACCAAACGUCGUCACAUGGAGAAACCAGAUAAAACAGACUGACAGUCUGGAGAACCAUUAAAAUCUUACAAGAUCACACACUGCAAACUGCAUGCUCUCUCUCCCUCUCAACGCCUAUAUAAGCACAUCCAUCCCCCCUAUGAUCAAAGCAUCACAGAAACCAUAAACACACAGGCAUCUGAUUAGAGAAAUCUAAUGGCUUCUUCUUCCUUUUCCUUCCUGCUUGUUGCUGCUCUUCUUGGGUUGGCCUCAUGGAAAGCCAUUGCCUCAGACCCUAGCCCUCUCCAAGACUUUUGUGUCGCUGAUCUGAAUUCGCCAGGUACAUUUGAAUAUGUUCUUAAUUUCAUGAUCGAUACUCUAAUUUCUUGCAUAUACGAUAAGCAGCAUAUAGAAAAUUACUAUAUAUAUGUAUUCAUCUCAUAAAUCUUAGAACUGAAAGAAAUAUAUAGUUGGUUUGCAUGCUAAUUAAUUAUUUUUCCUAAACCUGAUGCAGUGCGAGUAAAUGGAUUUGUUUGCAAGAACCCAAUGAACGCGAGUGCCGACGACUUCUUCAAGGCAGCCAUGCUCGAUAAGCCUAGAGACACAAACAAUAAGGUUGGGUCCAAUGUCACUUUGGUCAAUGUCUUGCAGCUUCCUGGUCUCAAUACCCUUGGCAUCUCGAUAGCACGUCUUGACUUUGCACCCUUGGGUUUGAACCCACCACACACGCACCCUCGUGCAACCGAGAUCUUCACGGUGCUUGAAGGAACACUCUACGUUGGCUUUGUUACGUCCAACCCAGAUAACAGGCUAUUGUCCAAGGUGCUCAACAAGGGUGAUGUGUUUGUGUUCCCUGAGGGGCUCAUCCACUUCCAGUUCAAUCCUAACCCACACAAGCCGGCAGUUGCCAUUGCUGCACUGAGUAGCCAAAAUCCCGGGGUUAUUACUAUUGCCAAUGCGGUGUUUGGAUCGAACCCACCUAUCUCAGAUGAUAUUUUGAUGAAGGCGUUUCAGGUGGAUAAGAAGAUCAUAGAUUUGCUCCAAGCUCAGUUCUAGAAGAACAACUACUGAUUGUCCUGUUGGUUGCACCAUCAAGGACAGUAUACUACAUGCACCUGAUGCUAUGUAACUAUCAUAUAUGAUACGUAGAAUAAGUGGGGUUUUAUGUGCUGAAAUUGUUAUCAUGCAUGAUAUGCUAAAGCAGUAUGUUAUUGGACAUGGAAUAUGUUGGACUGUGGCGUUCUUUUCCCUCGUAAUUAAAAUGAAAAGCAAACCUCUUGAAGUCCAUGAAAAAAAAAUUAUAUAUGCAUGUUACUAUGGACUCGGAAAGACGUUAUAUGUUUCUAUGCCUACGAUUUGUUCGUUGCAACCGAGAGAUAAUAUAUCAAUUGAGAAAAAAAAAAGUUUGCUUCGCUAGGAUAUAUUUAUUAUGAGAAAUAUCAAGCAAUUAACUUAAUCAAAACGUAGCUACUAGUUUUAGCUUUUCCGGCAGCAUACUUUAACCCUCAACACCCUUCCAUGAUCACUCUUUUCUUGAAAAGAAACCUUUCACCUUUUCCCUGAGCUAUUCUCUGCUCUAUAGAUAAAUAUGGCCAGGUUUCUUUGAGAGGACUUGUCCUUUAACCAAAAGAUCAACUUCACCGGUUAGCCGUCAGCCUAUGACCACGGAUGGUUUAAUUUGCAUUGCCAAGAGGUUGAUCUGUUAUAAAGCAACUGUAAUUAAUCGAAGUAUGGUAUCAAGCAUGUGUUCUUUCACUUUGUGCAAUAUAUAAUCAUGUUAUUUUUUCUUUUUUUUGUCUAAUAUAGGAGGCCCAGUGUUUUCUUUCUGCGUGCGCGUGGUUGUUUUGGGUCAGGUUAUCCAAAUGUAAAUACACAAUUCUUCUUAACUAAUAACAUAUUAACACGUCCAUACGUCGUAACUGGCCGUUAGGCCCAUAUAAUUAGAAAUCGACUAGAAAAUUGAUUGAGCAUAAACAUUGAAUUUGAUGGUUAUGAACGAGGAGCGUACAUAUACAUUAUUGUGCGUGGUGGGAGGAGAGAGAAGAGGACUAUGCUUUUAUGGUAGUAGAGAAAUAAAACCCACUUGAACAAAACAACCGAAAUGUAAGCCCAUGUAUAGAAAGUACCAUCCUUAAGAAGGUAUCAAAAGAUACUAUAUUUUCUAUUAUAAAAUUUGGCACCUCUAGGUACUAUGGGCAUGUACAAUGGUGUCUAAUAACGGGCGUUCUUCGUUGUCAUGCAAGUAAAUUUGGUGACGUGGAAGAAAGAGAGGGAAGGAAUGAGAAACAUCGUUGCUACGCAUGACAACGGCUCUGAGUCGACUCUUAGCAUUCAUUAACGGAAAAUUUGUUACAUGAGGGUAGAGAAAAGGAAAGAAGUAUAAUAAAAAAAAUAUUUAGUGCAUUAAUGGUUUAGAAAUCUUAUUGUCUCUAUUAUUAUAGCAGGAUAGUCUCUAGUGACAUUAAUUAGCAUAUAGGGAGCUCAUAUUAGACUCUACCUUUGUACAUGUCUUACAAAGGUAGAGACCGGUAUGAUCUCUACGUUAAUUAGAGGCUAUCAGGUUACAAUAGCUAAGACAAUAUGGUAUCUAACCAUUAAUGUACCAAAAUACUUCCUUACUAGUCAUCUUUUAUUUAUUAGACUCAAUGCAACGGAAAAUUUUCUAAUAAAUGCUAAGAGUCGACUCUAUGCCGUUGUCAUGUGUAGCAACCAUAUUUCUCUUUCCUUCUUCCUUUCUCUUCCAUGCCACCAAAUAUGCUUGCAUGACAAUAAAGAGAGACUGCUAAUAAAGAUUAUUGUACAUGCCCUAAGUAUCUUAAGGUAUUAAAAAUUUUAGUGUAAAAUUUUGUAGCUCAAGAUACUUUCUGUAAAUUAAAUUCCUCAUACAGAAAAUGGUAGUUUACAAAGUUUUUAAAACCAAAAAAUAAGGAAGGCCCAUAAAGCCUGGAAACAAAACAAAAGCCCCAAGUAGGCUUGGUAUCCGCCUACUAUAUGAAUCCAAACUCCUGUUAGACAUUUGAGCAGAUCUAUCACAGAUCUAGUAUCUCCAAUUAAUGGAUGACAAAAUGGGACUGAAGUUUUGGAGAAGUUCAGGCAACUCAAUUUUGGUUGUGUUUAGUUUAACGUAAAGUUUGGAUUUUGGUUGAAAUUAAAGAUGAUGUGACUGAAAAGUUGUGUGUAUGACAUGUUUAUGUAAUGGAAAAGGACUAAAGUUUAGAUCCAAACUUUGGAUCUAGGCACAGCCCUUAGACAGUUCCAACGGAGAAAACACUCCGGAAACGACGCACGUACCCGGGCACUAGGUGGUGAAGAGCUCGCCUGUGGACGAAAGGGACGAGAGGCCUGCCAGAAGCCUCCUCUGCUACCGAUGAGAUCAAUGCCAUCCCUUUUGCUGGCUUAGCUAAACAUGGGAGAUGAUAAACAAGAGAGAGGAAUGGAUGGAGGAAGAAGGAAACAAAGUCAUUUCAGUUAAAUUCUUUUCUCAACUCUAAUGAAAAUAUUUUAAUGACCUUAGUGUCCUGUGGUAAAUUAACACACUUUAAGAGUGUGCUCAGGUAAAUUUAUGUUUUUUUUGCGGGUGUCAACGAGCAACGAUUACUGGAGUGCCAAUUUGCAAAUUUUACUCUGUCCGUCCUAGGAUAAGUUUUUUUUGGCUUUUCUGUUUGUUUCAAAAUAAGUUUAUUUUUAAAUAAUCAAUGCAUCGGAGUUUAUGAAAAUAAGAGAUGAAUGUAUUAGGAGUAGAUAAAGAAAGAAAUAAAUGCAUUUGAGAUUUGAUAAUGUAGGGAUAUUUUUUUUGUUUUGUAUUGAUAUGUGGGAUAAGUAAAAUUAAAUUUAUUUUGAUGCGAAGGGAGUAACUAGAAAAAAAAAUAAAGAACAUGUGAGAAAACCAAUAUGAUAGCUGUAUGAUGACACCGUAGGUCGCAACGUCCAAGCGGUGAGACACACCUACUGAGCGCCCAUCUCUACUUCUAGAAGUCCAACCUCAAAAUUACUAGCUACUUCCUUCGUCCCAUAAUAUAACGGAUUUUAAUAUUGUGCUUAUACUAUUUGACCACUCAUCUUAUUCAAAACAUUUGUGCAAAUAUAAAAAACAAAAAGUUAUACUUAAACUACUUUGGAUAAUAAAGUAAGUCAAAAAAAUAAUAAUUUCAAAAAAUUUUUAAUAAGACGAAUAGUCAAACAGUGUAAGCAAAAUGUCAAAAUCUCUUAUAUUAUAGGACGGAGGGAGUACUGUUUAUAAUUUAAUUCUCGUACUUGGAUAAUAAUAUCAUUAUUUAUGUAAGCUGAAUAGCUGAUGAAAAACAAUACAAUAUUCCUCUGGUCAUGCAUGGCUAACUUUGACGGGAUUGGAGCCAUUAUUUGUGGGCGUGUACGCCCGGUCGUCCUUUUUCCCUGCCGUGCCGUGAUGGAUUGCUCAAUGGCUCAAUGCCAACAUGAUCAGCAUUAAUAUCAUUAUUUGAUAUAUCCUCUCUCCUAAAAUAAAUAUAAUAUGCUAGAAUUUAAAUUUUAUAUCAAAAUAGAUGCACUUUAAUUUAACUUACAUUACUUUUCGCUCCAACCACCUUUAAUUUAAUUUUCUUUUCAUCUUAUCUUCAACCAUCCCGCUCUCAACAACCUUUCAUUUAACAAGGGUAGCUACGUCAAUCUUUUCCCUCCUUAUUUAUCUUUUUAAUGAUAAAAUUGUGUUUAUUAUACAUGUACAUUUAAUAACAUAUGCUGAUUUUAAUGAUAUAUACAUGCUUAUCAUUAUAAAUGAUAUGUAUGCAUGUUUCUUCUCCUGAAAAUUUUUUCGCCCCACUGCAUAUGCAGGAAGCAAAUAUAUGUUGAUUUUAAUGAUAGUGCUCAGGGUAGAGAGGACAUUAAAUAUUUAUUUGGUGGUAACAUUCAGAAUUUAGAAUGCAUAAUUUCUUUAGAGUAGCUAGUUUCAUCCAGAGAGUACCAUACACAGUUUAUUACCUCUCUAUGCUGUAAAAUAAUACUCCCUCCGUUUCAAAAUGUUUGACACCGUUGACUUUUUAGUACGUGUUUGACCGUUCGUCUUAUUCAAAAAAAUUUGUGAAAUAUGUAAAACUAUAUAUGUACAUGAAAGUAUAUUUAACAAUGAAUCAAAUGAUAUGAAAAGAAUAAAUAAUUACUUAAUUUUUUUAAUAAGACGAAUGGUCAAACACGUGCUAAAAAGUCAACGGUGUCAAACAUUUUAAAACGGAGGGAGUAUUAUCUUAUUCGAUUAUUGUUAGUUCAGAUUGUUCUCGCAGGAGUUCAUGUUGAGAUUGUUCUUUUGCAUAAGAGCUGACUCACUCAUAUAUCCUUUCUCUCUCCUUCCAUCCUCCAUCCUCGUCAUCCGGACCAUUCUACAUUUCUCUUCUCAGCAUUACUUUUUUUUUUGCCAAAUACAUAUGUUGUUACGUUCUAAUGUUUUAUUUCCUUCAUUCCCUUUAUCAACACAACCAUAAUAAUACUAGUACUUCAUAUAAGGGUGUUUAAUGUUUGUCUUGAGAAAAUUGAUUAGGGCGUGGUCUGUUUAGAGAAAUUUCAACUCAUAGGAAUAUGAAAAGUGGAGGAAUAACAAGGUAUGCACACAUGAGUGGAUGAAAAUUUUCCAAUGUUUUCUCUCUACAAUUUGGAGGAAAAGAAAAAAAAUCCUUUGGUCUUCCUAUACCUCAUUCCUACAAACCGAUUAGUACUUGUAGGAAUUAAUUCUUAAAAAUCCAAAUCUUUUUUCAAACCGAAUAAACCCUAAUUGAUAAGGGUAGCAACAUAAUUAAAUGUGUCACACCUUAAUGAUUGUGUGGCUACUGUUUACAGAUCGACUACUACUAGAGGAGCGGCCUAGCUACUGAGGCAUAUGUUGAGAUUUUUUUUUAGAUAACGAAAUAAACAAUUAAUUCCGGCAUUGGCUUCAAAGAAGCUAUAUCCACUUAUUACAAAAUUCUCUCAAAGAAAGCAAAUACUUAGACAAUAAUAACAACAUAAAUAAUCAAGCCGUAAAUACUUAGGCAACAAUAAGAACAUAAAUAAUCAACCUAACACAAAGGGAGAAACGAUUAUUGAAGUUUAUUUAUUAAUCUCCAUCCGUAGUUGGUAAAAAUCUGUAUGCAUGACCGUAACUUUUAAGCUUCAACAUGCAGAAUAUAAGAACUUCUUGUUCUCUUCACACUUUUGAAGAUGUGCCCAGAAUCGGAGCCAGUGCGUUGACCUGAAAAGCAUCUGCAUAUAAGAUUUAUUUGGAGAUUUAUCAAAAACUAUUUAUGUUCUGAUAUGAACAAAUCAAGAAUGGAUAUGGCUAGUCUAUAGAUAUCUAGAAUUUGAUACUAGAUCAUAUGGUUGAACAGGUGAACUGGUGGGCCUUAAUAGUCAAUUAAUUGAUUAACACGUACGCAAGUUAUGGUUUAAACUGCACGCGAGUGACGCGCGGCAAACUUCUUCAUGCUACAUCUUCAGUUUUCUUGCAUGGUUUCGUGCAAGUUACCAAUCAAACAUAUAACUAGAUGAUAUAAAUUACUCAUACUUUUACAUAAUGGAAGUAUAUUAAUUAGAUCUUUGACAUGUGUACGAACAAGAAUGCAUUCAACAUGCAUAUUUGCCGACAUCAGAAUUCAAAUUUAAGUGGAUAGAGUUAUACAUCCUCUCGUCAUACCGAAGAUACUUCUCCUAUACUUUUGCACAAUAUAAUAUUGUAAGCCCCAGCUAUAUAUACGAUAUAUCUACAGUUGAUUAAUGCAGUUCAAUGCAAUUGCCUAUACUUUUGUACUGACCUUUCAUUGUCUGCACUGUUUGAUCUUCUCCGCUUGGAACGCUAUAAAAACGAUCUUUGAUAGCUCCACCUAUUUUUUUUCGCUGACGGUUACCAUUCGUGUAUGUGUGGUUUUGAAAAAUAAUUAUUCAUUGAACGGUGCGGCUUGGUUAAUUAUGAAUAUCGAAAUUUAUUUUUUGCAAAAAUUGGAGAAUUGAACUUUCAUAUUUAAAAUAUAUGAUAUUAUAUUUUAAGAAACCAUUGCAACACAAAUAUUUAGCAAUUAUACACAGUUAUAUGCCUUCUAUAUAUCCCCACACUCGAACUAAUAAACACUAGCAAUUAUAUAUGUACAGCAUAUACUUCCUCGGUACUCGUAAAGGAAGUCGUUUAGGACAAUGUUUAAGUCAAACAUUGGGAAUAUAAAUUAUGAAUAACUCUUAAGUUGUUGAGUUUGAAAAUAUAAAAAUUAUAUGAAUAGAUUUGUCUUGAAAAAUACUUUCAUAAAAGUAUACAUAUAUUACUUUUCAAUAAAUAUUUUUAUAGAAACAAGAAGUCAAAAUUGUGUUUUGGAGACCGUGUCGCCGUACAAAACGACUUUCUUUACGAGUAUGGAGAGAGUAUAUGACUUUGAUCACCACCCUCGAAUUAACAAUUUAUAAGUAAGUUUGUCGGUGAUUAAUUAAUGUCCAUCGAUCUUAGCGCCCUUUCUUUUCCACAAAAGUGCUGGUCUACAUAUAAAAAACAAUAGUAUAUGCAUAAAAUAAAUUAGCUGCAAAUUAACUGUAGCAAUAUAGUACUACGAUAUCUCUAUUAGUCGGGAGAGGAUAAAGACGCAUGCUAUAUAUCUAUCCUCAAGCAGUUUAAUUGUGAUCUCCUCUAUGACAUUUAAUUUAUACAAUAAGAUUCUUUGUUAGGUAAGCCUUAAUUAAUUAGUCACAUUCCAGGAUUUCUUCGAAGUGCAAGCAACCACGUGCAUCCAGCAGAAAUAUGGUAGCCAAAUGAACAAUGGAAACUGUUAUAGAGCUAUACGUCUGUCAGCUAGCUAGUUGGGUUAGGUGCACAAGCAAGAUACUCCCUCCGUCUAAAAAAACUCAAUUCCUGAAUUUCCGUGUCUAACGUUUGACCGUUUAUCUUAUUUUAAAAAAAUAUAAAAAAAUAAAAAGAUAAGUCAUGCAUAAAGUAUUGUUCAUGUUUUAUCAUCUAACAAUAAUAAAAAUACUAAUCAUAAAAAAAUUUCAUAUAAGACGGACGGUCAAACGUUGGACACGAAAACCGAAGAAUUCGGUCUUUUUGGACAGAGAGAGUACAUGACUAAUUGUAGUAUAAUUGAUCUGGACUGUAGUAUAAUUGAGCAUAUAUAGGAGUAUAUAUAUAUAUACUAUAUAUAAGUGCAUAUGGAUACAAUACGUGAAAGCAUGCAAUGAUGUGACAGUAGCUACUAGGAGUAGUACACUUUUAUAGUCUUCACUUUCAUGAAAAUUGAAAAAUGGAAUUCAACGAUGAUCUGCUUGUUUUCAGCGACUUGACUAACUUCAAUUCACCAAACAAUGUGGAUAAUAUAGGUAUUGAUUUUUCUAUGUCAUUUAAUGUCGUAUUCCACCAUUAUUAUUACUUGUUUGGUGGCAGUGGUACAUCAAGAUCACUUUAUACAUAUAUAUUACUAGUAGUUAGAUAUCCUUUAAUCUCUAUGUUAAUAUAUCCCAAAAGAAUUAAAAACGAGUUAUAAUAAAAUAAAAUAAAAGGAAAAUUAUAUUAGCGGUACUUCGUCACAAAUAACUGUAGGAUCGCACGACCAAAAAAACCUACCAGAGAGAGGGUGAAUGGUAGGGAAAACCAAAAACCCAAAAAUCUUUUGCGGAAUUAAAGAUUACCCUCGAACGAAGUCGAUGACGAAGUCCAGUCGCCGCCGGUCGAACCGCCCACCUGCCGCCGGUCAAACCGCCGAAGCCUCGCCGGUCAGACCGCCCGAACACCUGCGGUCAGACCGCCGCUAUCCCACCGGUUAGACCGCACGCACACCUACGGUUAGACCGUCGGGACCCAGAAACACCGGUAGAUGACAAACUCGAAGAUGUAGAUUGAAACUUUUCGACUUUGUUGCAUAAACUAGUGUUUACAAAGUGCUGACUAGUGUUUACAAAGUGUACCAACAACACUUCUCACUAAAAUCUCAAACUAAACUUGAAACCCUAACUUUCUCUCAACUCUAGUCUCUCUAAAACCGAUACCGAGAAGCCUUACGCUCCCUCUCUAUUUAUAUAACUCCUAGAAACACUAGGACUCUAUCCUUAAUUACCAAAUUGUAAUUCUCACAAACUCUCCAAAACCUGCAGCCACAGCCGGCCACAGAAAAUUCACCGAGUCAAACUCGGUCUCGCUCCUGGACCAACUUCCUAGCCGAGCCGAGCCGCCUGCUCUUGCCGGCCUACACGUCCUGCUGCUGCUCCUGACCUACCUGGCAGCAGCAAGCCAACCAUGCCGACUCCAACACACAUGCAUGUAUCGAUCACUCAUGCCUGCUGCACACUAGUAGACAUACAUAUAUGCACGCUCAUAUAUACUCCUAAUUUCCUCGACCAAUUUCCUUCGCGAACACCGACGCUUGCACGCACACUUCGUGAAACCUGUUGCGAAGAUCUCUCCCACACGAUGUCCAUCCACCGUAUGCCAUCUCGUAUCCAACUUUGUCACCCAGUCUCCUUGACCGUCUGGACCUCAACUCCUCCCUGAGUUUAGUCCCGAUCCCCACCGUUGACUAAAGUUGUCCUCCAAGAAUCCUGACUCUAUUCACCUUCUCACAUGGUAUCCCGACCGCACUAGACCUCUGCUCCUCCCUGAGCAUAGUCCCGGUCCUCACUAUUGACCAAGGCCGUCCUUAAGUCACCUGCACACAAUCAGACAAAACAACCGUUUCUGGGUACAUAUAUCACAACCUGACCCACAUUAGUCACACGCACUCACGCCAACAUUCAUACAUACUCUCAAACCAAUUCUUUGAUUAAAUCAUUUGUAUAGCCAAUUGUUCAUCACAAAUAUUAAUCAUGACAAUGAUUUCACAAUAACAAAUUAUAAAGGCACCUUGUUUUUAGAAAAAUCAAACUCGAUAACUCUUCGCUAAUAAUUACAGUAACAAUAUCCAUGUAAUUUCAAGUGAUCCUAUUUUAAUAGUUGUCGAUGAUAUAAUAUAAAAAGUUAAUAAUCAAAAUAUAUCAUUGAAGUCCGUGUAAAAAUAAUUAUCCAUCUAAAUUAUGGAGUAUAUUUAUAAACAAACUCAAUUCCAUAAUACAGAAAAGUUAAAAUACGUACCUAAACAAAUUAAUUUAUCAACAAAUUGCACAAAGAAGUCAAUUCAAUCGAUCUGUACUAUCAUACUCCCUCCGUUUCAUAAUGUAAGUCAUUCUAGCAUUUCUCACAUUCAUAUCGAUGUUAAUGAAUAACAUCGAUGAAUGUGGGAAAUGCUAGAAUGACUUACAUUGAGAAACGGAGGAAGUAGUAAUAAUUAAUGAAAUCUGGAAUGAACGGAGAUAACCUAGUCUAGGGUGUUGUUGUCAACACACAUUGAGCGUCGGCAGCGCAAGUCGACCAGUUAGGGAAGAUCGAUCGAUGCGUGCUUUGUAAUUUAAGACACAAUAUAUCAGUUUAACUGAUCUAUCGAUGCAUAUGGUUCUUAAUUUGUUGCGUACUUGUCACACGUUGUUGCUUCGUAAGGCAGGUGUCUCGUAAGGAAAAUGUGGUCUCACAGAGAUGUAUGCUAAUAUAACCAUCCCAGUCAUCAAAAUAAUACUCCCUCCGUAUUUUAAUGCAUGACGCCGUUAACUUUUUAUCAAACGUUUGACCUUUCGUCUUAUACAAAAAAUUUAUCUAAUUAUCAUUUAUUUUAUUGUGACUUGAUUUAUCAUCAAAUAUUCUUUAAGCAUAACAUAAGUAUUUUUUAUAUUUGUAUAAAAAAUUUAAAUAAGACGAAUGGUCAAACGUUGAUUAAAAAGUUAACGGCGUCAUACAUUAAAAUACGAAGGGAGUACUAUGUAUACUAGCUAUAGAUAUUUUAGACAUGGAUCAACGUCUUUGACAGUCUUUUCUGCUCCUUCACCGGGUAACACCAGUUUGUACCACGCAAUAGAAAUCGACCCUUGCUUGAUUACUAGCAUAAAUAGUAAAAUAAAAAAGUUUAUAAGUUUGAAACAUAUGGUUGAAUAGUGGAAGAAAAAAAUAUUUAAGGUAACAUUUGCAUUCUUCCACUCUUUACUUUGUUUGGAGACAAAGUAGGACUGGUUGGUGGCAAUCCCCCCUUUUUUUUGGAAUCACUAAUCCCUCCGUUUCAAAAUGUUUCACACCGUUGACUUUUUAGCACAUAUUUAACCAUUCGUCUUAUUUAAAAAAAAUUGUGAAAUAUGUGAAACUAUAUGUGUACAUGAAAGUAUAUUUAACAAUGAAUCAAAUGAUAUGAAAAGAAUAAAUAAUUACUUAAAUUUUUUGAAUAAGAUGAAUGGUCAAACACGUACUAAAAAAUCAACGGUGUCAGAUAUUUUGAAACGGAGGGAGUACUAUGAAACGCGCAAGGCGAGUGAGAGGCGGCGGUGCUCGUGUGGCAAGAGGAGCUAGUCACAGCUGACGAGAUGAUGCACAAAACGGAAGCAGUAGGAUGCUCGAUCACACUACUAGCGCUCCACUACUAGUCAUUGUUCUAGGCCUUCUUGCCAUUGUCAUAGCUCAUAGCUGCCGCCGAGCCGUAGCUACGUCUCCGAGCAGCAGGGGUUGCCAGCAGCAACGCAGCUAGGGGCAUCAGAUCUAAACUGAGAAGUGAUCGGUGCUAGGUUUGAGGUGAGAGAGAUCGAUGGGAUGUGAUAGGAAGGAGAGGUAUCUGAAUGGGCACUGCAUAAUGCCCCCGCAUUUUCAUAAGCGGUCAUAUUAGGAGGGCUGCGUUGUUAAAAUAGUGUGAUAGAUUGCAUGUAAAAAAUUAUGAUUUCACAUGCGGUCCUUUGAGAUGGUUGCUUGUAAAAAUAACCCUAUUUUUAAAGGGGUCGUUAUAAGACUAUCACGGGUAAAAAUUGAUUAUCAUAGGCGAUUCGUCAUAAGGGACCCCCGGUGCAUUUUCACAUGCGGAUCUUCUUUCAGAUCACCUAAAAAUAAAAAAGUUUCACCGAAAUGGUUUUCUAUACUGAAUGGAUAUAUAGAAUGGUUUCAUUUUUUCUAGAUGAGACGGCGUGAUCUGUAUAUCGGCGAAAAAGAUGAAGUGAGAUGGAUUGGUCUGAGGAGAGAAUGUGAGAUGGCUUGGUCUGAGGUUUUAGAGGAUUAUCUUAGGGGAUUAUUUUUUGCUGGAUUUUUCACAUUUUGGUCCUUUUGAAAAACUUAUUUCGUAAAUAGACCCCUAGAAAAACAUAUCCAAGAAAUGGUCAUUUUUGGGGCGCCAGAGUGGACGACGGCGCCAGCCUCUUUGGCGCCGUCCUCCUGCCACCGUGGCACACGCGAACCGACGUGGCAGGAGGAGGGCGCCAAAAUGGUUAGCGCCGCCCUAGGGAAGAGGGCGCCAGCCAUGCUGGUGCCGCCCACCUCCCUCUUCCCCACCACCCCUCGCCUCCAUUCAUGUUUCUCUAUAUUGCAACAUUUUUAUUUUUGUUUUAUUUUUUGGAUGUUUUUUCGCACUUAGGAUACGAUACAACCAGCCAAAAAAAAAAUUAAACUUGAACGGAAUAUACCACUUAGCUAGAUAUCCGAAAAUAGCAUACCACUUAGCCUAUUUUGCACCUUCAUUAAAAUUAGACCAUAACUUCUUUAGUAAAAACCUUUGAUCAGCAUGUUAAAUAUAAUGCACUCUACCACUAUAUGAAAUUACUUAAUCUCUAAUUCAAAAUAUAACCACAUGAAAUGAUAGCCAUAAGUUAAAUAGUACAGAGAGAUGCAGUUUUUUUAUUUUUAUUUUAUUUUUUUGAUAUUUUUUUCACACUUAGGAGAAUACAGGAACCAACCAUAGAAAAAAUAAACUUAAAACGGAUAUAAUAUGUGACUUGUAGAAUUUUCCAAAGCUCUACCGAAAACAGACAAAAUAUGUCAUUUAUUAAAAUAGGCAUAACUUUCUCAUACGGACUCGGAAUCAGGCAAAUAAUAUAUCCACGGACAUCUACAGAAAAAGUUACAUCCGAUUCUUCCCGGCUUUGCCAGGUUCGGCGAUAUUAGAACCUCCAAAUUUUGCUUGCAAGAUUGUGUUUUCGAGGAGAGAAGUUUUUUGGUAGAGCUUUGGAAAAUUCCACAGGCCACAUAUUUUGUUCGUUUGAGUUUAUUUUUUAUAUGGUCAGUUCUUGUGAGUUCCUAAGUGUGAAAAAAAUAUCAAAAAAUAAAAUAAAAAUAAAAAAGUUGCACAUCUCUCUCCUCUGCACUAGUUCGGAGAGAGAGGAGAGGAGAGGAAAAAUUCUACAGGUCACAUAUUACGUCCAUUUGAGUUCAUUUUUUCUAUGGUUGGUUCUUGUGUGUCUCUAAGCGUGAAAAAAAUAUCAAACAAAUAAAACAAAAAUAAAAAAUUUCGGGGGGGGGGGGCGCCAGCCACUCUGGCGCGCUCCCCCUAGCCACCUCAGCAUCGCCCCGCCACGUCGGCAGGGGGACGGCGCCAGAGAGGCUGGCGCCGUCCAAAAAGGACCAUUUCUAGGAUAAGUUUUUUCAGGGAUCUAUUUACGAAAUAAGUUUUUUAAAAGGACCAAAAUGUGAAAAAUCCAGUUAUUUUUUGUUUGAGGAUGUCGUAUCUCUAUUAAACUUGCGACCAAAGACCUCCCAAAAAUGGGAUAGCUUCUUUCCAUCUCACCUUCGUCCAUAGCUAGAACCAAACAAUAAUUAGCGACCAAUAAUAAGAAAUGAACAACGAAAAUGAAAAUGGAAAUCACAAAACUACCUAAUGAAACAUGCCGAGCCGUAACUACAUGUAUCUAGUAAGCAUAAGGUAGAUUAGUAUUUGAAACAAACAGAGCUGACUGCAGGGAACUAGGAAGGAUAAUAUAUAUAUAUUGGUUACUUAGUUACUAGAACAGACAUGUUUUUUCAGAGGAAACUUGUUCAAACUGAUAAACAUGGAUGAAAUAUUUAAUGUGCAAGCAGGUCUAGCUAGCAGCCAGAGUACUUUUCGAUCACUUUUGGUCAGCUCCACGUAUAUGUACUUGACUUAAUCUGUUUGUACGCAACCAAUUAUUUUUCUGUCGCCACGCAACACUGCCUCUCUUCCUCUCGAUAGACCUCUCCAUGCGGCUAUAAAAUCACAUGCAUCCCCUCAAUUGCAAAAUCAUCUCUCACCCAAAAUAACGAUAAACACAGGGAGAGAGAGAGAGAAAGAAAUUCAAUGGCCUCCUCUUCCUUAUUUCUGCUAGCUUCUCUUCUUGUUCUGGCCUCAUGGCAGCAGGCCAUCGCCUUUGAUCCUAGCCCGCUCCAAGAUUUCUGCGUCGCCGACAUGGCCUCACCUGGUGUGCACACUUAAUUUAACUAUUAUCCUAAUGUUCGGUAGUAUUUUAUCACUGCUUAUUGAAAAUUGUAUGUUUUGCAUAGUGGCACUACACAAAAAUAUGGCUCUUGUGGCUACUCAAAACUUUAACAUGUUUCCUUCUUUUUUCUAUGCAAACAGUGCGAGUAAAUGGGUUUCCUUGCAAGAACCCAAUGAAUGUCACAUCGGACGACUUCUUCAACGCGGCCAAGUUUGACAUGCCAAGGAAUACUAUGAAUAAAGUCGGGUCUAAUGUCACCAACCUCAACGUCAUCAAUUUCCCGGGCCUCAACACUCUUGGCAUCUCACUAGCUCGCAUCGACUACGCGCCAAUGGGUGUCAACCCACCACAUGUGCAUCCUCGUGCUACUGAGCUUCUCACUGUGCUUGAGGGAACACUUUAUGUUGGUUUUGUUACAUCCAACCCUAACAGGCUCUUCUCCAAGGUGGUGCAUAAGGGUGAUGUGUUCGUGUUCCCUAAGGCAAUGAUUCACUUUCAAAUGAACCUAGACCACAAUAAGCCUGCGGUUGCCCAAUCAGCACUCAGCAGUCAAAACCCAGGAGUUAUUACUAUUGCUAGUGCCAUAUUUGGAUCAACGCCACCAAUCUCUGAUGAUGUUUUAGUCAAGGCAUUUCAAGUGGAGAAGAAGGUGAUUGAUUGGCUGAAGUCUCAAUUCUCGGAGAAUAACCACUACUGAUUAUAUCAUGUUUCUUGAUUGUUCCUUUGUGCGUUAUAAUAUGUAUAAUAAAUGGGCUUUUGCCUAGUUGAUGUCAUGGUAUGCUAAAACAGUAUGUUUGAUCGUCCAUGUUUAAUAAAUGUAAUGCAAUAUGGACACAGUACGGCGUCCUUUUCCUAAUUAUAUAUUAAUAUAAAAGAAUGAUUGUUCAUGAAAGGAGAAUUGUCAGUGAUUGUGAAUGCAUGGUAUUUAUGUUCUCGGCUUUACAUGUACAUGAAGCUCUCUGCUUCUGUCUGACAGGUGAAUUAACAGGUUAUAUAUGUGAUUUGUUCGUUAGAAACCAAAAGAGAAUUAAAACAGUAAACACGGAAUAGUAUGGGAACAUGCUAUUCGGAACACACCCUUAACCUGUUAAUUCUCUUGUGUUCGGAAUAGCAUGUUCCCACCCUGCACAGUAAACACGAAAAACGGAGCGAUCCAUUAGCGCGUGAUUAAUUAAGUAUUAGCUAUUUUUUUAAAAAAAAUGAAUCAAUAUGAUUUUUUUAAGCAACUUUCGUAUAGAAACAUUUUAUAAAAAACGCACCGUUUAAUAGUUUGAAAAAUGUACGCGUGAAAUACGAUUGAGAAGGGGUUGGAAACCUAGGGUUCCAAACACACCAGUCUAGCUAGUUCCGUAUUGAUGGAACUUCUUUGUUGAAAUAAACAGAAUUAAUUGAAGAUAAAUCAGAAAAUUUGGCGCUGUACUUUAGUGUAUUUUUGCCGCAGAGCCCAGGUGAAUUCUAUGGCUUAAUUAACAUGCAUGGUAAUCAAUACGCGUGGCUCUUGACGAUGAUCCAUGCACAUCCUACGGUGAACUAGUAAUCAAUACAUUAUGCGCUUCUCCAUCCAAUAAAUAGUAAUCAUCUGAUCCCUUCUUCUUAGGAAAAUGUAUUAUUUUGAUCAAUAUAUUUUAGGUUAAAUUUGGGAAAAAAAAUUACAUUGGUCUCAUCAGAAAAAAAAAAUCAUCUGCAUCGUUUUAAAAUUUUAGAUUGGAUGUAUUGAUAUCAUAUUUACAUAUAUCGUCUCAAAAAUCACCAUCAUAAUAUUAUAAUUUUAGAGAACUACUAUAUAUAUAUAUAUAUAUAUAUAUAUAUAUAUAUAUAUAUAUAUAUAUAUAUAUAUAUAUAUAUAUAUAUAUAUAUAGAGCGCAACUCGCUGUUUAUGGUAAAUAACUCACCUUAAUUAUAUUGCCACUCACCCGUUCGUUCCCGCUCCCCUUCACUCUCUCCCAAACUGAUAUAAAAAAAAUUACUUAAGCACUGGUUAGGCCACAAGUCUCUCACAUCCCUCUCCUCUUGAUAUGAAAAAAAUUAUUGACUAGAUAUUUUCUUUACGUCUUGAUAGGGGUGUGCAUUUAAAUUUGGAGGAUAAGGAGAGACUAACUAGAGAAGAAAUGUUAAUUUAUUUACACAAACAUUGAUAAUUAUCCUGAUACGUGAGUAGAGAAGGGGAGUUACCUAGAUAAUAUUUUUUUUCACUAGAAGGGGUGGGUGUAAUUCUUUUUAGAUCAAGGGGCAAUAUACUGCGGGAAGGGAGAGGAAUGAGGGGAUGGGUGAAGAGCUUAGCGAGUAAUUUCGGUGGCUAUAUAUGAGGGGCGUGCUCACUGGUGGAGAAAAGUUAUUACUAUCGGUUCGUAACCCUCCUAUAGUCCCGGUUUUCGAACCGGGACUACGAAUCCGGGACUAAAAAUCGCUAUCUUUAGUCCCGGGUAAAAAAACUGUUACCAACCGGGACUAAAGAGGCUAAUCCGGUUGCUCUUUCCGGUUCCUCUUUAUUAUUUUCUUUUCUUCAUUAUUUUUAAAUAUAUUGAUUUCACCCCAUUCCAUCCCCAAAAUCCCAAAUCAAUCAUCCUCAAAUUGCCUCCAAAUCCACAAAUCAAUCAUCUCAAAUACUCAAAUACAUCACAAAAUCUUAAAAAAAAAUUACAUCACAACUUCUACAAAAUUCAUCACAUAUUCACAUCACACACAAAUCAAAUACAUCACACAAUAAUCUCAGAUCCAAUCAAAUACAUUCACACAACAAUCUCAGAUUCUUCAAAAAAAAAGAAAAAGAAAAAAAAGAGGAGAAGACGUGCGGCGAGGCACUGCCGCCGCACCGGCUGGCCGGCCGGCCCUCCGCGCCGCGCUGCGGCGCGGCCGCCCACCACCGCUGCGCCGGCCGGCCGGCCGGCCCUCCCUCCGCGCCCCGCCGCCAGCUGCCGCCGCGCCGCCGUGCCGCCGCGCCGCUGUGCGGCCGCCACCGCACCGCCGUGCCGGCCGGCCCUCCGUGCCCUGCCGGCCACCGCCACAAGCCACCGCCUCACCGCGCACCGCGCCGGCCGGCCGGCCCUCCGCGACCCGCCGCCCUCGCGCCGGCUUGGCAGUAGAGAGGAGAAGGAGAGGAGAAGAAGAGGAGAGGAAUAGAGAUAAGAAUGAGAAGAGGAGAUAAGGUUGAAGAGAUGAGUUAAAAAUGAGAGGAGGAGAUAAGGUUGAGGAGGAGAGAGGUGUUAAAGGAGAGGAGGAGGUACCUCGAUCCGAUCGUGCACACCUCUCCGAUCUCCGCGUCGAUCUUUACUCCCGGUUGGUUUUACCAACCGGGACUAUAAAUAGAUCUUUAGUCCCGGUUGGUAAAACCAACCGGGAGUAAAGCAUAUGGCGAUCUUUUUUUCCGGUUGAUGUUAUCAACCGGGACUACAAAUAGAUCUUUAGUCCCGGUUGGUAACACCAACCGGUACUAAAGAUUGAAAAGUAUCCUGUAGCUUUUAAACCGGGACUAAAGAUAUUUUUAGUCCUGGUUUUUAAUACAACCGGGACUAUUGUAAAAUCUGGUCGACCGACCAAAGAUGGUUUCUCCACCAGUGGCUAGUUAAUAUAAGUAGCGCACAAUAACCUUAUUAAGCACCACCGAUAAUUUUAUCUCGUUUUUCAAAUAGUUUUCAACGGGAAUAAUUAAUAUUGUAGGCAAUGUUUUAUUAAAAAAAAGCCUUCUUUGAUUUAUGAAGGAAAAAAGUAUAAUUCAACACCAAAACGUUCGCUAUUUAUUAAGAAUAUAAACAUGACCUGCAUGCAUGCAUAAGCCCAUGUAUACUUAUAGUGGCAAUCAAGGAGGGUAUGGAUUAAUUUUGAUGACCUCAUAAAGAAAAAAAAUCUGGUGUGCCAUGCAUGCAUGCUUUAAUUACUAGCUACUCCCACCGUCCCAUAACAUAAGGGAUUUUGAGUUUUUGCUUACAACGUUUGAUCACUCGCCUUAUUCAAAAAUUUUUGAAAUUAUUAUUUAUUUUAUUUGUGAUUUAAGCACAAAUUUUCAUUUUUUAUAUUUGCAAAAAGAAAAAAUUGAAUAAGACGAGUGGUCAAAUGUUGUAAGAAAAACUCAAAAUCCUUUAUAUCGUGGGACGGAGGGUGUAGCCAGCUAGCUACGUAACCAAUAUAAUUAAACUGGUAUAGUAAGGAUAAACGUCGACGACUAGAACAUAAUGUUCAACAGUUGAACUGGCCAGUUUAAUCGGUCGGUUGAUUAACUCGCAAGCAAUGGUACAUUACAACAUUAGAUUGAACGUGUGAUAAUUAAACUUGUAUAGCACCACCAGUUACCGUGUGUUUUCUAAUAAUGUUUCGUGCAAAGUUACCAGAUUUACUAAACUAAGACGCGCGAAUUAAUCUAGCAAUAUACAACUACUCCCAAUACAAAAAAUGGUGACAAAGUCAUGACAGAUCAUCAGAUCGAUGAACGACAAGUAUAUAUGAUAUUGCUGAUUAGUCGUAUUAGGUGCAGAUUAAAGGGGAGUUACCCUAUAUAUAUAUAUAUAUAUAUAGGUUGCGAUGACCUUAAUUAGCAUAAUAAUUGCAAUGACCGACCAAUCAAUGUGCCCUGACGCAUUAUUUUCUUGUUCAUCAUCCUCUAGCAGCCACAUCGUUUUCUUUACUUUAUAUCCGUAACUAAUUAACGUAUAUAAUUUAAUUUAGUAUUCGACUAGAAAAUAAUUAACCACGUAUACAAUAUAUUAUCCUUUUUCAAUUAAACAAUUAAUUUAGUCGGUGAUAGCUGCCAACUGUAGCAACAGAACAAACAGGUCAGGAAAUUAGGAUGAGGACGUUGCCUAUAUAUCUCCUCCAACAGUUUGUGAUUGCCUCGAUUAUUAUUUAAUUUGUCCAUAAAAUUAUUGGUUAGGUAUACAUUAGUUAAUUAUAUUUCACUCCUGGAUUACGUGCAAGCAACAGAUAGAGGACCCUCUUCAAAGAGAAAAACAGUUAAACAGAAACUAGAUAGCAGGGGAAAUUAUAUACUCCUAUAUGUGUAACCAACAAAGCAAGUGAUCAAUGUUGGAAAACGUUAGAGCUAGUGAUCAAUUAAUCAGAAAAUGUUCAUGACAUAUUGCAUAUACCUGCAGCGAUUGGUUGGGUUAGGUGCAGGCACAAGCAAGAUAUAAUUAGAAUUAAUCUCAAUGACGUGGUCAACUAUUAUGCGUAUAUGCAUGGAUAUGCAUAUGCAUAAAUGUGCACGCAUUGAAGUGAUGGGUGCCCUUCAUUUCUUCAUAUAUAACAUCAUACAAAAAACAAAAUCCUCAUAUUUCUACAUAUAUAUUAUCGUCAUUGAGUCCAUUUUCCGAAAAGAAAAUGAUCAAUUCAGUGAUCCAUAUGUAGGUCUUUUGAGAAUUCACUAAAUUAAUACUCCCUCUGGUUCUAUAUUAAUUGACGUUUUAGACAAGGUUGAGGUUAAACUUUUAUAACUUUGACCCUCAAUAACUUUAAAAAUAUUUAGUUUAAAGAAACUAGAAAAAACAUAUAUAGAUUUGUCUUUCAAAACACUAUAAUAAAAGUAAACAUGCAUUUAUUUAUUGUAUAUAUUUUAAUAGAAAAAUAAGGUCAAAGGUAUAUCUUGUAGAGCAUGUCAUUGUCCAAAACGUCAAUUAAAAUAAAACCGGAAGGAGUAAUAGGGACAAUAUUGGGUACGUGGAGCACGUACCUCCAUCCUAAUUUAAGUGUGGUUGUGGGUUUUCGUGUCUAACGUUUAACCGUAUGUCUUAUUUAAAAAUUUAUAAAAAUAAAAAAAUAGUCACACAUAAAGUACUAUUUAUUCUUUAUCAACGAAUAAUAACAAAAAUAAUAAUCAUAUUGUUUUUAAAUAAGAUGAACUGUCAAACGUUGGAUAUAAACAGUACAAAACUACACUCUUUCUGGGAUGGAAGCAGUAUUCUAAUUGAUGCAUGCUAGUUUGUUGGAGAAAGAACAGACAUUAGUUUUUAUAUGGACGUCUUUGACAGGUCUUUUCAGUGCCUUCACUAAAUAAUACUCCGGAUAAUGGAUCGAUAUGACGACGACCUUUUCUGUACCAGCCAGAUGCAGCAUGCAAUAUUGUAAUCCAACUAUAGUUUUGAUGUGCAUGGCACAAGAUAUACAUAAAUCUAAAUUGCUGUUCAGUGUAUACGUUGUCCACGGUCAAGCACGAUGCAAAUUAGUUAUUGGAGAGAUAUGUAUAUUUAAACAGAAACCACUUAAUUAAAACUGAGACGAAAUAUUUAAUCAUCAGCAAUUAAUUAAAGCACUAGCAGCGAGUACUUUUCAAUCGGUGAGUUCGCGUGGUCAGCUACACGUACUUGACUUGUUCUGUUACUCACAGCUAAUUAAGCAAUUUAAUUUUGUCACCACAAUUUGCGCUCCUUUAAUUUGAACCAACCUUUCCGCUAUAAAAUCACAUCCGAUGCCUCCGUCGCCAAAGCAUCUCACACACAGCAGGAGAAACCAACUCAUAGUAGCUUAGCUAAUUAACACGAUGGCCUCCUCUUCUUCCUUGUAUCUCCUAGCUGCUCUGCUUGCGCUGGCCUCAUGGCAGGCCAUUGCUUUUGAUCCUAGCCCACUCCAAGAUUUUUGUGUUGCUGACAUGAAAUCACCUGGUAAUUAAGUAUAUAUAUAUAUGUGUGUGUGUAAGUGUGUGAUCACUUGAUUUAAAUAGGGUGUUAAUUCUAAUGUUGUGAAGAAAUUCACUGUUCUCAUCUGAAAUUGUGCAUGCGUCAUGGCACUAAAAGAAUUUGUACUACUUCUGAUUUUGAAAAGUAUAUAUAACAUUUAUAUUUACAUUCUAUGGAGCUUAGUAUACAUGUACUAACUUGUUCUAUGUGAGCAGUGAGGGUAAAUGGAUUCCCUUGCAAGAACCCAAUGGAGGUGAACUCGGACGACUUUUUCAACGCGGCCAAGUUUGACAUGCCUAGGAGUACCAUGAACAAGGUUGGAUCCAACGUCACCAACCUCAACGUUCUAAAUUUCCCGGGGCUCAACACCCUCGGCAUCUCGCUGGCCCGCAUCGACUAUGCGCCUUUAGGUGUGAACCCACCACACAUUCACCCACGUGCUACCGAGCUCCUCACUGUGCUUGAGGGAACACUCUAUGUUGGCUUUGUCACGUCUAACCCAAACAGGCUCUUCUCUAAGGUGGUUCAUAAGGGUGACACAUUUGUGUUUCCUAAGGCAAUGAUCCACUUCCAAAUGAAUUUAGACCACAAUAAACCAGCAGUUGCCCAGUCAUCACUCAACAGUCAAAACCCUGGAGUUAUUACAAUUGCUAGUGCGGUGUUUGGAUCAAAGCCACCAAUCUCUGAUGAUGUUCUGACCAAGGCAUUUCAAGUGGAAAAGAAGGUGAUUGAUUGGCUCAAAUCUCAGUUCUGGGAGAGCAACUACUGAUUAUCUCAUACUGAUUCUCCCUAAUCAAUUGAUGCAAGUAUGAUAUAUAUGAAACCUGUACUUCAUUGUAGUAUGUAGAAUAAAUGGGCUUUUGUCCUAUCAAAAAUGUCAUAAUAUGUUGUACGUGUGCUUUCUUGCUCAUGUUUAAUAAAUGUUAUACAAUGGAAGUGGUGCCCUUUUCUCUUCGUUACUACAACAGAAAUGUACCAAUUAACCAAGGCGAUAAUAUGAUCAUUAAUUUUGCUACGUAUUUUCUGUCCUUAAUUAUUCAUAAGAAUGUAGUUUCUCUAUAUGUUUACAUAACGUAAGUCUACGUAUCAGUGACUUCACCGACUAAUUUGGAUAACGAAAAUGGAAUUUAUAUAUAUACCACCUAAUUAAGUAAUGUUCUAAGUUCUAACUGAGGGAUAAGUCCGUUUGAUCCCUAACUCUCCGCUACGUCUAAAACAUUCCCUCGAAUACUGAAACCAAACAUUUAGCACCUUCAAGUCUCAAUACUGGGUAAUUGCAGUACAUUUGACAAAUUAGCUCUUUUCGAAAACUUAUGUUGAAAGUGAACCAUAAAAAACUUCGAUAAAAAAUGGACCAAAUGGAUCAAGAACUCAGCACCAUGUUUCUUGGCGUCGAAGCCUAACAGCUUAGCAUCGAGGCCCAUGACGCUGACCAUGCAUGUAGCGGGAAAAAGUUAAAAACUAACGUACAUGGCCAACUUUGGAUCAUACCCAAGUAUAUGGUGUAGUGGUAGGACAUGUCUAGUGAUCUGGGUUCAAACCCCAUCAGUUCCAAAGUUUUUAUUCACUCGAAGAAAAUGGCGAAGAGAAAAUAAUCAUUUCUAUUUUUUCUUCGCCGCCUUCUUUUAUUCGCUAAAAAAAUGGCCAAGGGAAAAAAAGUACGCUCUUCUAUCUUCGCCUCGACGCGAAGGGGGUGGGAGGUGCGAUGCGAGUGGGAUUCAAUCUCAAAUCACUGGGUUGGAAGAGGAGUCAAUUGACCAUUAGUCCACACAAUACUUGUACAGAGGUGGAACUCUAAACUUUUUGAAGAGUAUAGAACUCAGCGUUAUGAGCCUUGGCGCUGAGGGUAUGAGGUCAUCGCCAAGACCCGUGGCACUAAUAUGUUGGGCUUUAGUGCUAAGAUCCAUCACGUUGAGGAUUCGGCUUAAUUUUAUAAUAUUUUUUUUACAUGAUCUAUUCUUUAGAUAAAUUUUUGAAAAGAUCAAAUUAUCAAAAAUUUCGGGGGUACUUGACCCGUUGAGCUGCUUCCAACGCCGAGAUCCCAAAAUGGUUCUAUAGUCCCUCGGUUGAGCUGGGCCUAUGAACCAUUGUCGUCAGCCUCUGGAGAGUCUGGACAUUACAACUGUCGGUCACCUGCAGAGAGCUCGCUGUGUGAGGAGGCAACGACGGCGAUGAACGCCGGCCAUCGCCGCAGGAGCAGAGGCCAAGAUGGCCUCCCUGGUGCACCGACAUGCUCGCCGGCGAGAUGCAACCCUGCAUUUGGAUUUUUCAGUUCAGCUCACUGCCAACGAUCGAUAAAAAAAUUAUUUCAGUUCAGCUUCACUGCACAGCUGAGAGGAUUAAUUCGUCAAUUCGGUUGUUGCCAACGUAGCAAUAUGUACUGGCUCCGGCGGCUCGCCGUCGUCGGCGCCGGAUCAGAACACUGGUUAAUGGGCUUUAUUUGUGACGUGCCGCCAAAUUAAAGAGGCCCGUGCGUACAGGAAAGCAGAUCAGCUCCUGAAAAGAAAAUGGUGGAUGGGCCGAGCCCGAGAAGGGAAUGAUAAAUGGGCCUAAAACGGAAGGAGCUAGCUAGGUCACGGGUACGCGGCAUUUCUCCCAUUCGUCUUCUCAAAUCUCAACCGUGUACCCAGUUUUAGAAUUCGAGGAUGUGUUUUAGAUAAAUAAAAAAGUCCAGGAAUUAAAUAGAUUUGUAGCUUAAUCGAAAGGCGUAAUUUCACAUCGAUAUAUCAAAUUUAUCUCCAUCUAUGUACAUAUAUACUCUAUAAGUAAGGGCCACUUGGUAGAAACUUUUCAUGUCAAUGAAAGAGAUUUGGGAAUCCAUGAAUUGUGAGACAACGACUCAAAAUUAAUGUCUAGAUUCAAAACAAAUAAAAAGAUUAAAAACUAAAGUGGUUGAUGGAGGCACACUGAUCAGCUCGGAGAGUGGUGAAGGUGGAUAUGAGUAUAAGGAGAGAGAGAGGGGCUAACAUAGAGUGUGCCAUACAUACCAGAUGAAGCAGUAAGAGCAUCACCAACAGUUCCCUUAUUUCAUCCCCAAUUCUUCGUUCUGUUCAUUUGAGGGAGAGUGAUGACAUGUCUGUCAUCCCCAAUCUCUCAUUCGCACGUGAUUUUUCCUAGGGGGAGCGCCACAUGAGCGGGGAGGGAGCGUUGGGAGCGCGAGAGAAAGGGAGGAAAACGAGAAAAAUCUGGUGUUAGUCUAUCAGAUGGGCCCACUUUUAAUUUUGGGAUAAAAUUUAGGCGUUCUCUUGGAGAGGUCAGUUUUUUAGCUACCUAUUUUCAGUUUAGGAAACCCAAAAAUAAAUUUUUGGGGGAGAUUAUAUGUAAUCUCUUGGUGAUGCUCCAAGAAACCACUCAUAGAGAAUCCCUAAUGCAUAAUUUAGUAGCCAAAAUUUGCACACAAAAUUCUACCUUAUGCAACUAAAGGAUUUCCAUCAUGUCAUUGGUGUUGGCAUGAGGAGCUAGCCUGCUUGUGACAAAGCUAGCACUUUGCAGCUAGCCAAGCAGUGAGCAUGCACCUACUAUUGUUAGGGAUAAUUAUAUCAAGGUGUGCUAGAUGUUUGCAUUAUUGUAUACCAGACUAAUAGAAUGGUCGGUUAAAAUUAAAGAUUACCUUUACAGAAAAAGCAAUGGUCUGAUAUUUAAUUUUGAAAGAAAUCAACAAUAUAUAUUCCAUUUUUUUAGAAAAUGGAUUAAAACCUGGCCUCUACACCCAAAAGUAGAGAGUUUUUCUUAAAAAAGGUGUUAGCAAGUCUAACACAAUAAUAUAUUUCUGUAUGUAAUUUACAUGUGUGUGAAUAUGUGAUGGCCAUUUAUGUUGUGAACAAGUCAAUUAAGCUAUAACUAGCUAGCUCGAAAUAUAGAUUGUUGAACUUGUCUGGACGUACUAGCCGCUCACAAGAAAGCGUUUUUUUUUUUUUUGUAAUCCAGAUCGUGCCAGUUCUCCUAUUAUUUGCCAUCCGGAUUUAUAUACAUUGCAUCCAAUGUUUCGUGAGGAAUAACAAUUAGAUUUGGUGCAAUGACAAUGGUGAGACCAAGUCUCUACUAUUGUAAAAAUUAAAGAUGUUUUUGUCGGUACUUGGUAUACCAUCCGUGUAUGAGUCGGUAUUUAAAUUCAUUCGCUUUUGGAAAUACAAAUUCGUAGUUGAGUUGAUUUUUAAAUUCGUUCACUUUUACAAAUACAGAAGGAAUCGUAGAAGGAAUCGUAUAAGAAAUCUCUUUCAAAAACUAGCACAUUAAUUUGAGACGAAGCUCAUGAUUUUCUAACAAAAUAUAUAUCCAAGCGAAUUUAACAUAGUGAAUUUCAUCUUAACUAAACCAUAUAACAAUAAUAAGAUUAAAAUAGCUUCAUCAGUUACAACGCACGGGUAUUUUUUCUAGUAAUUAAAAGGAUGGAAACGAUGGUUUGAGUACUGACUUGGCAAUGCUGGUCAUUGAUUAAAGAUGUACACAUAUUGCCCCCUUUAAUUUGCAGAACACACAAUAACCACUACGUCUUCUUUUUUGAAAAAAAAACAAAAAAACCCUACUAUGGCAUUCUCAAAUGUAUAAACACAAUUUUGACCACGUAGUUAGUAGAGCAGGAAGAUAUUUUAAGCUGAAGAGUUCAACCUGUUGCCUGCAGGCUGCAGACCAUUUCAAUCUAGCUGACAUCAUCACUUCAUCUUAUUUGACUUGUUCUGUUCUUCACAAUUAAGUUCACCAAAGCCACACCCUGCAGCUAUAUAAGCACAUCAAAACUCCAUUGCUAAACCCAUCACCCAACAAAGCAGUAACUAAUUCUAGCUAGCUCAGCUAGAGAAACAGCAAAUAAUUCAGCAAGAGGAAGAGCAGAAAUUAAUCCAAAGCCGAAUGGCCUCACCCUCUUCCUUGUGUCUCCUCGCUGCUCUCGCGUUGAUCUCAUGGCAGGCCAUGGCCUCUGAUCCUAGUCCUCUGCAGGACUUCUGCGUUGCCGAUAUGCACUCACCUGGUAUAUUAUAUUUGCUCUUUCAGAAAAUUUACUUUCCUGCUUUGUACCUAUGGUCCAAAUUGAAACUCUAUUAGUCACUACUAUAUAUGUGAGAUUAUUCUAGCAAAGUAAAAUGUAUAUCUACGUUGAAAUAUCACUUUAUAAGCCUUGAGCUCACAACUUAGUUCUUUGAUGUAUGCAGUGCGUGUCAAUGGAUUUGCUUGCUUGAACCCAAUGGAAGUGAAUGCAGACCAUUUUUUCAAGGCAGCCAAGCUUGACACCCCUAGAAAAACAAACAAGGUUGGGUCCAACGUCACCCUAAUCAACGUCAUGCAGAUUCCUGGUCUCAACACACUCGGCAUCUCAAUUGCGCGCAUUGACUAUGCACCCUUGGGACAGAACCCACCGCACACACAUCCCCGUGCCACUGAGAUCCUCACGGUGCUUGAGGGAACAUUAUAUGUCGGCUUCGUCACAUCUAACCCAAACAACACGUUAUUUUCCAAGGUACUCAACAAGGGUGAUGUGUUCGUGUUCCCUCAGGGGCUCAUCCACUUCCAAUUCAACCCUAACCCACAUCAGCCUGCUGUUGCAAUUGCUGCACUUAGCAGCCAAAACCCCGGUGCCAUUACCAUUGCAAAUGCAGUGUUUGGAUCAAAGCCACCAAUCUCGGAUGAAGUUUUAGCGAAGGCAUUUCAAGUUGAGAAGGGUACUAUAGACUGGCUCCAGGCUCAGUUCUGGGAGAACAACCACUACUAAUUAAAUUUGAAUAUUUAUUUGUAUACAAUGUAUUAGCUUUUGUGUUACAAUAUAUAAAAUAAAUUUGUAUUUCUGGACCAAUUAAUUACGUGGGCUUGCAAGCGUUCCAAAUUCUUCCUUUGAGUCACGAAUAAACAAAAUUCACCUCCUGCAUUAUUUCCUCUAAUGAAAGAAAAUAUUGAUAUAUAAAUUAUUUUGCCCUUGUUUGGAGAAAAUAUUGCGUAAAGCUCUCAUAAAAGUUGGCAAUGAUGAUGUAUCUCCCAAAAUUAAUUUUCCAAAUCUUUUAUAUGAAUGCUUCCUAAUUGACCAAAACAUCCUAUAAAUAUUAUAUCAUAAAUUCCAAACUAAUUAACUAUUGUAGAAAUUUGAUUUUCCCCAAACAUUAAGUUCACAAAGGACUAGCAUUUGUUCGUUCAUUCUCACUCCAUACCUAUUCCUCUCGCUAAUUGCUGGUGGUGUACGUCUUCCCUAGGUGAUGCCAUAUCCGAACGCGUAGUGCCCUUCGAUUUUGGCCUGGUUUAAUUCUCCAAAAAAUUUCUCAAAAACAUCACAUCGAAUCUUUUGACACAUGCAUAGAGCAUUAAAUAUAUAUUUAAAAAACUAAUUGCACAGUUAGGGGGGAAAUCGUGAGACGAAUCUUUUGAACCUAAUUAGCCCAUGAUUAGCCAUAAGUGUUACAGUAACCCACAUGUGCUAAUGAUGGAUUAAUUAGGCUCAAAAGAUUCGUCUCGUGGUUUCCAGGCAAGUUAUGAAAUUAGUUUUUUCAUUCGUGUCCAAAAACCUCUUCUGAUAUCCGGUCAAACAUCCGAUGUGACACCCAAAACUUUUCUUUUCGUGAACUAAACAUGCCCUCUAUCUUGCUGCAUGCUUUCUCUCAAUCUGUAGCUAGGCUUACUGAAUAAGCUUAAAGAUCGCUUUGUUGAUGACAACUGGUGGACACACACAGAGAGAGGAGAGAGAGUAUAUGCUAGGCUAGGUUUGGACAAAUGCGGUGGUAGGAAGAGCCACAAGCUUUAAGACGAGUAGUGAGUAGGAUCAACGGUAGGGACAUAUGGCGAUGAGAUUUAUGGUGAGGAAGAGAGCCUUAUACAUGGUGACGCCAAUAGUCGACUUCUCACUAGCUUCACCAGAGGAGUGGAAAUGGCUGAUGGAGCAAUGGGUGGCCUUGGCACCGACAAUGGUAUUGCCUGGUACAUUACUUGAGAUGUUUCAAGGUUAAGUACAGUGAGGUAGGCUAGGUCCAAUAUUUAGGAUGGCAGUGAUGGAGGCACAUAGAGCCUGGAGGAGAGGUGGACAUGGAGAGUAGAGUGGGUGGUUAAUAUGAAGUAGAAAUCAAUCAGAUCUCAAUUUUUCACAAGCACAAUGUUUCCCUUUUUUUUCAUAGUUGCUCAGGAAAGACGAAUGGCAGUUGCAGGUAGCAGGCCUCAUGUCCCAAGGACAAUUUCCAAUUUUAGUUUUUUUUAGCAAUUAGGGCUGUGUUUAGUUCACACCAAAAUUGAAAGUUUAGUUGAAAUUGGAACGAUGUGACGGAAAAGUUGGAAGUUUAUGUGUGUAGGGAAGUUUUGAUGUGGUGGAAAAGUUGGAAAUUUGAAGAAAAACUUUGUAACUAAAAACACGGCGUAGGUUGAUUUUUGUAAUUCAACUUCAAAUUUAUACAAGUAGAUAAACUUUGAAUCUUUCUACUCAAAAUUUAAAACAUUCAACUAAUUAUUUUCUAAAACUUUUAAUUUUAAUUUGUGAAACUUUCAAUUUAAAUUUUGAAACCUUAGAUAUACUUAAAGUUUUAUUAACACUACCUGAAACUUUCUUUUUUUUCUCUCUCUCCUUUUUUAAAAAACAAGCCACUUCGAAUUGAAAUGAGGAGCACGAUCACAUAUGAAAACGUACAAGCAAUUAACGUCACAAAUGGAAGUCCGAGUCCGCACAUGCCGCGCCCAAAGUAACCACUCCCAAUAAAAGUGUGUGACCAAGUAAAUACUAUUGGAAAACUCUCCGAGUAAUUGGUACGAAAAUGUUUAUUUAUGAUAUCUGUGUAUUAUGGAGUACUAGGUGCUAAAGUAAAAGUAUUAAUUAUAAUCUCUUGGUCAUGUGUCAUUCUCAUGAUCGGUACGGUCUGUCAGUGUCCGUACGAAUGGAUCAUGCGUGCAUUGACCGAACGAUCACUCACAGACCAUUGCUAUCACAUAUCACCAUUGGAUAGGUGUAUGACCUAUUAGUUACUCCCUCCAUUCCAAAAUAUAAGGUAUAACCACCCCUAACCCAAAUACCAAAAAAAUAAUUAUUAUCAUCUUGUAAUUUGGAUCAUCCUAAUAAAUACAAUGUAUGCAUUCAAUAGAAUUAGAGAACAUGAAAGUGGAUGAUUUAAAAAAGUAAUAAUUUAAUAGAGAAAGGAUCAUAGUUAAUGGCCUACAUGCAUGCACGCCUUAGAGCACCCGCAAUGGUAAAGUAAGGUGCUAUAUAUAAAACAUGUACACCUCAACAAUAGACUAGAUUAAUAGUAAACCACUUCAAUGGUAUGUCUACAUGGGUAUCUAUAGCUCUCUAAUCCAUUGCCUCGUUUUUCUCUAUAGACUAUCUCCAUGUUAGUAGAUAGCUUUGCUCUCUCUCUUCAUUUAAUCUCUUCCAAGUAGGAAAAUAUGCUGACAUGGAUCUCUUGUAGAGAGCUUAUAGAUAACCAUUGUGGGUGCCCUUAUAUUAUGGAACAUCUAAAAAAAGUGGUUGUGCCUUAUAUUAUGAAAUGGAUGGAGUAUUAAUUAAUGCAGUGUAAACUCUAACUACUCGGAAAUUAGGUGCCUUAUUUUUUUAACAAAAUGUCGUUUAAUUUCUGGAACACUGAAUAAAUAUUAAGGUAGGUUAUCGUAUCUUAGAACUUUGAAACAAAGUUUAUAUAUAACUUUUGAAAUAAUUUAAAAAUAAUGUAUUCAAAUAAAUAUGUACUACCUCCGUCACAGAAUAUAAUAAUCUAGGACUGGAUUAGACAUAUCCUAGUCAAACAAAUCUAGACAGCCCUUAUCCAGAUUCAUUCAAGGAUAUGUCCCAUCCAGUCCCAAAUUGCUAUAUUUUGGGAUGGAGGAAGUAAAUUUUAAUAUUUAUAAUAUUAAUAAUACUACAUUCACCUCCGUUUUAGGUUAUAAGACUUUCUAGCAUUGUUCAUAUUCAUAUAGAUACUAAUGAAUCUAGGCACACAUAUAUAUCUAGAUUUAUUAACAUAUAUAUAAAUGUGGGUAAUGCGAGAAAGUCUUAUAAUAUGAAACGGAGGAAGUAUUUGCCUGUGUAAUAUAAACAUGGGUUGGCGCCUAGUUUAUGUAAAUAUACUAGCGAGAUGAGCGCUCAUAUGUACCAGGCUUGAAAACAAUAAAAAAUUAACCUCCACUAACUUAUAACCUUCACAUAGAAAACAUAUGGGUCUUACGUUUUGAACAAAAUUAACAAUAUCGAUUAAUUCUGUAUAUGCAGAUAUGUUUUUAAGAAACAAUUAAUUGCUAUCUACUUUGGAACAAUUAAUAAUUAAUAUAUAAUGCUGUAUAUUUUUACAUGUGAUGGUUCUUUUAUGAACAAGUCAAUAAAAUAGCAAAGUAGCAAUGUAAGGUUAUUGAACUUGUCCUGACUAACCGCUCAAAAGAAAGCGUUCAAUUUUCUAAGCCAGAUUGUGACAGUAAACCUCCUAAUAAUUUUUGUCAUGCAUGACAAUUAACCAAGCUUUCGUGAGGGGUGACAAUAAUUUUAUGUCGACGGCUAGAAAAUAUUAACCAAAGUGAUUAAAAAGGUGGCCGAGUUUAGUUCCAAAAUUUUUCUUCAAACUUCCAACUUUUUCAUCACAUCAAAACUUUCCUAUACACACAAAUUUCCAACUUUUCAUCACAUCAUUCCAAUUUCAACCAAACUUUUAAUUUUGGCGUAAACUGAACACACCCUGUAUCUACACCAUCGAUCACUUCAGAUUAGUUAGGGUGUGUUUAGUUCACUCCAAAAUUGAAAGUUUGGUUGAAAUUGGAACGAUGUGACAGAAAAGUUGAAAGUUUAUGUGUGUAGGAAAGUUUUGAUGUGAUGUAAAAGUUGAAAGUUUGAAGAAAAACUUUGGAUCUCAACUCGGCCUUAAUUAGUAGCGCAGAUACAUACUUUUGAGCUGAAAAGUUCAACCUGCAACCUUCAGAAACCUGCAGGCUGCAGAACAUUUCAGUCGCUGACAUCAGUUCAGCCUGACUUGUUCCAAUAUUCACAAGUUCACGCUGCCGCGUGCCCCGGCUAUAUAAACACAUCAAUCCUCCAUAGCCAAACCAUCACCCCAAGAGAAACACAAGCAAUAUUAGUUAGCUUCCCAUCAGAGAAAGAUAGCAGAAAUCCAAAGCCAAAUGGCUUCACCCUCUUCCCUCUGUCUCCUCACUGCUCUUCUUGCGUUGGUCUCAUGGCAGACCAUUGCAUCUGACCCUAGCCCUCUGCAGGACUUCUGUGUUGCUGAUGAACACUCGCCUGGUAUAUUAUAUCUGCCCUUUGAGAUAUUUUCUAGCUUUGUAUCCAUGAUCUGAAAUGCUAUGGAACAUAUGCGAGAUUAUUCAACUUAACUAACAUAUAGUAAUUGAAACAUGUAUAGAUGUGUUCAAAUAACAUAUAUAAGCAUGGUAGUUAUAACUAAUAUUUCUAUGCAUGCAGUGCUUGUCAAUGGAUUUGCUUGCCUGGACCCAAAGCACGUGAACGCGGACCACUUCUUUAAAGCAGCCAUGCUUGACACUCCUAGGAAAACAAACAAGGUUGGAUCUAACGUCACACUGAUCAAUGUCAUGCAGAUCCCUGGCCUCAACACGCUCGGCAUCUCAAUUGCACGCAUUGAUUAUGCGCCUUUGGGACAAAACCCACCGCAUACUCACCCCCGUGCUACCGAGAUCCUCACGGUGCUUGAGGGAACACUCUACGUUGGCUUCGUCACAUCCAACCCAAAUAACACGCUAUUCUCAAAGGUCCUUAAGAAAGGUGAUGUCUUUGUAUUCCCCGUGGGGCUCAUCCACUUCCAAUUUAACCCUAACCCCCACCAGCCCGCGGUUGCAAUUGCUGCUCUUAGCAGCCAAAACCCUGGUGCCAUCACCAUUGCAAAUGCGGUUUUCGGGUCAAAGCCACCAAUCUCAGAUGAAGUUUUGGCAAAGGCAUUUCAGGUUGAGAAGGGCACCAUAGACUGGCUCCAGGCUCAGUUCUGGGAGAACAAUCACUACUAAAUAUAAACUGAGUAUGUUUGUUGGCAUACCGUGAAUCAGUUAUGUGCUAUAACAUAUAAAAUAAAUUUGUAUUUCUAGACAACUUAAUUAUGUGUGCUUGCAAACAACCCAACAACACAGUUUUUUGUUGGGAAAUGGCUAUGUAUGUUCUUCUCAUGUGAUAUUCCCUCUAAUAAAGUAAAGCAUUGGUAUUAUUUUGCCUUUGUUUUGAUGAAAUGUUGCAUAAAAUCCUCGCAAAAGUAUAACAUUGAUGAUGUGUCCCAAAGAUAAUCCUACAGACAUUUGUAAGAAUGCUUCUUGACCAAAACGUUUAUACAUACUAUCAUAAUUUCCAAUGUAAACAUCUAUGCGCUAUAUAUUCAUAAAUUCCAAUAUAAUAUCAUAAAUUCCGGUGCAAAAAUAUAUGCUUCUUAACCAAAACGUUUAUAAAUUUGAUUUUCGAUGAUAAAGAACGUGUGUUUGUUUAUUCAUGCAAAAGCCUUCUGUAUUUGACUAACUAUGGGACAUACGCGCUGGAGAACAAAAUGAAUACCUGACAAUAUCCAAGGAAGGACGAGUAGUAUCUGUUUAUAUGUACCGUACUAUCGAACAUUUAACAAAAUAUAUUACGACUCCACUUAGAAACAUGAUAAAAUAUAGAGUAACCAUCAUUUAUUUAUGGGCCCAUUAACAAUAUUGAUUCUUUUCCUAGAUAUAUUGUUAAUAGUUCUUUUUUACAUUCUAAUUACAUCCCUAGCUAGGCUUAAUAUCCUAAUAUUAGACAUAAGAAUAGAUAUGCGUUCCUGAUUCAAUUCCGAGGGAAAAAAGGGUAUGAUACAGAAUAAGUGAUGGGAUAUCCGGCACUACCUUUCCCCAAUUCCGACUCUAAAGAAAAAUAUUGGACAUAAAACAGAGCUAUCUAAUCGUAUCCGUUCCGAUUACACUCCUAGUGUUGUUUUCCCUUAAUGGCACCAUAUCCACAAUGCCCUUCCACCUUGCUGCAUGGCUUCUUUUCUUGGCAAUGGUAGCCUUGCCAAAUGAAAUUGAAGGCUGGUGGUGUGGCAUCUUUGGACAGAUGCGGUGGGAGCAGGAGCCACAAGCUUGGCAAGUGAUGAGCAGAGUGAACAGUUGGGACAAGCGACAAUAAGAUUUAGGGAAGAUAGGGAGGGUGACGCAGUGAGCCAGUGAAUCGACAUCCCAUUGCUCCAUUGGACAUGGGUGAUGGCAAAGGCCGAUAAAGAAGAGGUGACAAGGGGAGCACAAGGAGAGAGGGUGGCAACAAAGCCCCACAAAAUAAAGAGUGCCACCGGUUGCUUCCAAGAUAGUAAGUAGUAUGUAAGAUGUCAUCUAAAAUCCCUAAUGUAUGAAUAACUAAAAUUUGCACACUAAUUCCACCCUCUAUAAUUAUAAAGGUGUUCCUUCAUGCCGGGGUGGUACAGUAGCACUUUUCAUGUGGUUGGGUACAUACACCGUUGUUAGGGUUUAUUAGCAAGCUGCAUGAGAGAACUGUUUGUAUAUAUAGUACUACAUACAUAAAACAGUGGUCGAUUUACCUGCAUGGAUGGAUAUAUAACUUUUACACAGAAAAAAUAUAUAAGGGUACGGUGUUAUUUUUAAACGAAAUCAACAAUUAAUAUAUAUUCCAUAAUCCAUAUAUAUGCAGAUUUUUUUAAAAAAAAUAGCUAGCUAAUGUGGCAUAAUAACAUAUUGCUACACAAUGUUACAAGUAAUAGUUAUAUCGUGAACAAAUCUUGACUAAACGCUCACAAGAAAGCGUUUUCUUAAGCCAGAUUGCGACGGUUCUCUUAAUAUUGUUUGUCAUGCAUGCGUGGCAACCACAUGGUUACGUGAGCGGUGACAGUCACUAAUUCACUACUCCCUCUACCUCCGUUUCAGGUUACAAGACGUUUUGACUUUAGUCAAAGUCAAACUACUUUAAGUUUGACUAGUUCUGUAGAAAAAAAGUAGUAAUAUUUACAACACCAAUAUAGUUUCUUUAAAUCUAUAAUUGAAUAAAUUUUCAUAAUAUAUUUAUCUUGGGUUAAAAAUAUUACUACUUUUUUCUAUAAAAUUAGUCAAACUUAAAAUAGUUUGAUUUUGAGCAAAAACAAAAUAUCUUAUAACCUGAAACGGAGGGAGUACAAGAAAAACGAUUUCGCAGGCAACCAAAUGCAUCUACGUAGGCGGCCAGUGCCCAGAGGCCUUUGUAAGGUGACCAAGUAAUCAAAAAGGUUGGAAAUGAUAUAUAGUGUGUCAUUGAUCAAUCGAUGACGCACACAAAUUGGACCUUUCAAUAAUGUGCUGAUCAGAUCAUAACAACUACAGUGACUUCUUCCAAAUAUACGUGGACUAUCGUCCAUCGGGAUGCUAUUACGCGUCGUCGUCAAAAUGUGUGUAAACACGAUCGACCACGUCUGCAGACAUAUAAUUUCUAAGCUGAAAAGUUCAACCUGCAGGCAGCAAAUUGCAGACCAUUUCAGUCUACUAGCUGACACCAGUCCAGCUCAAUAUUGACUUGUUCAGUUGUUCACAAGUUCACGCUGCCGCGCCACUACGGCUAUAUAAGCACAUCAAUCCUCCACAGCCAAAGCAUCACCCAACGAUAAACACAACCUGUUAGCUAGCUAGCUUCUCAGCCACCAGAGAAACAGCAAAUAAUUCAGUAGAGAAGAGAACAGAAAACCAAAGCCAAAUGGCUUCACCAUCUUCCUUCUGCCUCCUCGCUGUUCUUCUUGCGUUGGUCUCGUGGCAGGCCAUCGCUUCUGAUCCUAGCCCUCUGCAGGACUUCUGCGUUGCCGAUAAGCACUCACCUGGUAUAUAUACAUGUUCUUUUAGACAAGUUUCUAGCUUUGUAUCUAUGAUAUGAAAUUCUAUGUUUUAAUUUCACCCAUGUACAUAUGGGUGAGAAUAUUGAACUUAACUAACAUCUAGUAAUUCAAACACACGUAUAUGUAAACCUUGUUUCUAAAAGUUAACUUUUGCAUGACACAGUGCUUGUUAAUGGAUUUGCUUGCCUGGACCCAAAGUACGUGAAUGCAGACCACUUCUUCAAGGCAGCCAUGCUCGACACUCCUAGAAAAACAAACAAGGUUGGAUCAAAUGUCACACUGAUCAACGUCAUGCAGAUCCCUGGACUUAAUACACUCGGCAUCUCAAUUGCACGCAUCGACUACGCACCCUUGGGUGAGAACCCACCGCACACACACCCCCGUGCAACUGAGAUCCUCACAGUCCUUGAGGGAACCCUCUAUGUCGGCUUUGUCACAUCUAAUCCAAACAACACACUAUUCUCCAAGGUGCUCAACAAGGGUGAUGUGUUUGUUUUCCCUGAGGGGCUCAUCCACUUCCAAUUCAACCCUAACCCCCAUCAGCCUGCGGUUGCACUUGCUGCACUUAGCAGCCAAAACCCUGGGGCUAUUACCAUUGCAAAUGCAGUGUUCGGAUCAAAGCCACCGAUCUCAGAUGAUAUUUUGGCAAAGGCAUUCCAGGUUGAGAAGGGCACCAUUGAUUGGCUCCAGGCUCAGUUUUGGGAGAACAACCACUACUAAAUC
rnacentral:lncRNA from 1 species